UGACUGACGUCCCCAGUUUGUUUAUCCAGCCCAGUGCUAGAAAGGCGCCAAGUUUUUUUUUUCUUACCUAGCUUUAAUCUUCAGAAAAUGCAGCAAACUUUGCUCUUGUUUCAUCAUUUUAUUAUGCUGCUCUAGGUAAAUAAUUAUGUGAACUGUCUAUCCUAGUUUCUUCAUUACCUCAAGUAAGGAUGUAAAUGGUAGUCGUCAGGACAGCGGUAAACUGUUAAUCUUUUGUCGUAUAAACUGUUAAAUCUUUCGUCGUAAUUUUGUUCGCUCAUGUACAAUUAUGAUGCUGUUUUUCAUUCCCGUUGACAGAGGUAAACUGUUAAUCUUUGGUCGUAUGAACUGUUAAUCUUUCGUCGUAAUUUUGUUCGCUCAUGUACAAUUCUGAUGCUGUUUUUCAUUCCCGUUGGUUGAUCCAGUUCAUGUUCUUCGGUUAUGCUUCCUCCGCCCGAAAAUAAGUGUUGCUGAUUUAGUAUAACUUUGUAUUAAAUCAGCGACACACAUGUUUUGAGAUGGAGGGAGUAGUAUGAAUGAAUAUGUAGUGACCCCCCUAGUUGAAAAUAUUUUGCAAUGAAAUCGCAGGCCAAGAUCUUUGGAGUUUGCCAUGAUCUUUUUUUUUUGAGGGGUUUGCCAUGAUCUAGAAAAGCUACAAAAUGGACUCACAAGUUUGGGCUUCAGGGUUGUUUAGAACGACCGCUGUUUGGGCUUGGGCGCAACAUUGUCAACCAUGUAACUAUCACACGUCUCUCCUUGAUGCGGUUGAUGCGGCUCUUGACGUCUUUGAUGUCAACGGGUACCUCGCCCUUUAUUGUCACGUUGAAUUGUUGAUGCUUCUGUGUAUGAAACCCAUAAAGGUGUGUGCGGAAUCUGUUGGCGUGUCUUCGGUCUCAUAGUACAGCUCCCUGGUUUGUGAGGAGUCCCGCACCUGUUUCUAUAAAAAAUGAUGUUUCGCCUCCUGGAGAAAGCGAAAUAUGUGUGUUGUGUAGUGUGGCCAGGGGAAUCGACCUUAUUAGAACUUUGAUUAUUUGCUUAUUAUGUUGGCCAUGACUUUGUUUUGCCAUUUCACUUGCAUCCAAUAUCAAUAGCUACAAUACCAAAUAAAUAUUAGAUGGACAUAUAUUUCAUAGUGAAUCUAAUGACACUGAUUUGGUAGUUUGGGACAUAUAUUUCAUAGUGAAUCUAAUGGCACUGAUUUGGUAUUGUGGAUGUUGAUGUUAAUAUAAAAAAAUUCAAACUUUACAAAAUUUUGCUUAGGAUAAAACUAAUAUGCUAUGUAUUUAGACAUGGGGGAAUUAUAUAAACAAGAAUUUUAUGCAUUGAGGAAUCCCAACCUGAGCCCUAAUUGACUAACCACACGAAUAAAUAUUCUUUGAGAGUUCUGAUGCAACAACUCUCCUUCUUUGUCCCGUCUUUCUUCUAGAAAAUACUUAAUCCCAAAAUCCCUAUGUUUUCCCCAUACAACAUCCAAACAAAGCAGAUCAUAAUUCCAUAAAAACCAGUCAUGCCAUGACAUCCAAAUCAUGUCUUUUUACCUAUUCAUGUGUGUUUGGAUUCCAGCUUUCCGAAAUGCCCUAAACCCACCUGGACAUCCAGGUCUGCAACCCUAAAAAUCUCAGUGCUAGGCACUGUAAGGGUUGUUGGCAUUUCUCAUUGCAACUAGGGCCUUCUGAUGGUCAUAGGCUCUGUUAGGACAACCUCUCGAUCCGCACCUGCUCUAAUCGUCUAGAUUUUGUUGCUGGUGAAUACGCACAACUGGUAUCUAGAACGAGAGCUCCACUACCAUCUUAGUGGCUACCAAUUCUCGUCACCUUCGCCCAUUCUGUUGCCGAACAACGUUGGACCAACAUUAGUGAUGCUCGGCCACACAUGCGACCGGAACAAGGGUAUCACGACUGAAGGGCAUGGCUGCUAGGUUUGUUGUGGCUAGGUGCCCGUGAAACAGAGGUAGAUUUUUGACGGUUUCUUUUUGUUUGUGCUAUACUUGCAACCACACACAAAUGUCAUAGGCUUUUUUCCUCGCCAAAACCUUCUUUUGUUCCUGAAGGUAAGGGUGGAAAGUGGCAGUGGAUAAAUAUAAAUAACUGAUGUUUGUAUUUAAGAACAUGCCUAUUCGUAUUUGAAACAUCCACGUAUGAAAUAAAAUGGGAUGGAAGAUAUCUGGAUAUAUUUGAAAAAUACAAACACAAACAUGGUACAAAAGUUUAUCACAAAUAUGAACAUGGAAGUGGAUAUAUCUGUAUCCCGAUAAAAAUUUCAUGAGCUAAUUUAAGCAAUCCUAGCCCAACAUGGCAAUAUCCAGCAUAAAAGCCUAACAAGCUGUCAAUUUUACUUUAUUAUCUAAUUAAACUUAGGAAUAAUUAUGCAUUAUAGUAGAAUUUAUUCAUAAACUUGUCCAUCAUUGACUUGUUGUAUAUUGCAACUUGAUUAUUUUGUGUCACUUAGCUAUUCACUUAUUUUCUUUAAAUAAUAUAUCACUAUUAUUCGUACCUGUUUCGAAUCAAGUAAGCAUCUGAUAUAUAUUUGUAUAUUGGAGCAACAUUCGAUCCGCAUAUGUAUUCGUAUUCGUAUUUGUUUAGGAAAUAUUCUAUAACACUAAGCUCCCUAGUUUUAAAGAGCCCACAUUCAAUUGAGGUCUUCAAUUAGAAUUGGGUCACCUGAUUUUUGGCCGGGUCAACAAUUUCUCAAAGCUCUCUCAUUCAAUUUUUUAACAUUAUACAAUAUGCUUCCUAAUUUUUAUGGCCUCACAAUUAAUUGAAGCAUUCAAUUUAGAAUUGGGUCAACCAAUUUUGACCGGGUUAACUCUUUCUCAAGCCCUCAUAUUCAAUUCUUUUAAUUCACUAUGUUCGCUAAUUUUGAAGCUCUUUCAUUCAAUUGACGUAUUCAAUUUUGGAUUUGGUUUACGAUUUUGAAUGGGACAACGAUUUUGCAAAUCAAUCAGCAACAACCGUUCUAUAAAAACAUAUCAAUCCCGUGCACCCUCCCACCACCUAGAAAAAAGAAGCACCACCAUGUGAUAUUGUAGAACCAAUAUAGUAGUACAUGUGACCACUGAUACGGAAAAUACUAACACAAACAUGUUAUGGAAGAUACCCGGAUAUAUUUGAAAAAUACAAACACAAACAUGGUACGGAACUUUAACACAAAUAUGAACAUGGAAGUGGAUAUGUCUGUAUCCCGAUAAAAUUUCACGAGCUAAUUUAAGCAAUUCUAGUUCAAUAUGCCAAUAUCCAACAUAAUAGCCUAACAAGUUGUCAAUUUUACUUUAUUAUCUGAUUAAACUUAGGAAUAGUUAUGCAUUAUAGUAGAAUUUAUUCAUAAACCUGUCCAUCAUUGACUUGUUGUAUAUUGCAAUUUGAUUAUUUUGUGUCACAUAGCUAUUGACUUAUUUUCUUUAAAUGAUAUAUCGCUAUUAUUCAUAUCCUUUUCGAAUCAAGUAAACAUCCGAUACAUAUUCAUAUAUUGGAGUAACAUUCGAUACGCAUACGUAUUCGUAUUCGUAUUUGUUUAGAAAAAAAUAUGAAAAGUGAAGUGGCGAGCCAAUCAAGGCCGCUUCUGGGCUAUUGUACUUUCGUGCGGACUGAUUACGGCAGGCCCGGCCCGCCCCAGGAGUCCUCUGUCCCCUCCAUCAUCUCCGUCUACAACACUUCUCCGUCCGUCUCCUUCUCCGCCCGCACGCCACCUCCUCGCCGCGUUCCCCCCGAAAAAAAAGAAAACCUCCUCGCCGGCCGGACCUCUCCGUGCCCCUCGAUUUCCCACCUCCGCUCGCCGGCCGUCCAUGGCGGCGGCGGCCGUCGGCAUCAGCAGGACCAGCGCGGCGGGGGCGGGAAGCACCAACAGCAGCGAGUUCCGCUUCUUCCUGUCCUGCGACAUCAGCCUCCCCCUCACCUUCCGCGUCCUCCAGGCCCCCAUCCCGCCCCCCGCUCAAGGCGCUCACUCGCACUCCCUCCCCUGCCCCCUCUCCCCUCAUCCCCAAAUCUCUCUUGUGUUCACUUCUGACCUUUCUUCUCUGCUUCCUGGCAGAUGGUCUCGACAAGAAGGUCUCGGAGCUCUUCGUCGAGUGCAAGCUCUACAUCGACGGCAUCCAGUUCGGCCUUCCCGUCAACACAAGGUACUCUCGCUCUGUCCCGUCUCUCCUAUGAUUUGUAUGUACUUGACUAGAUGAUCUCCAGAAACCCGUGGAUGAAUAAAAUUUGUUAAAUGUGAAGUUGGAAUCUAAGAUAAAUUCUCCUGGAAUAAAUUUGGUAAACUGAAAUAGCCAAGGCCCGUAAAAUAGCCAAGGUGUUCAGAAAGCACAAAUGAAAAAUCAGUAUGCUAUGCCUAGAUAGCACAGCUGAAGACAGCCGUGUUGAAGUAAAUGGAACGGGGAAUAAUUUUACUUUUGCCUAAUUAUGAUGCAAGCUCAUUAAGCAAAACUUGGACGAUUCCAUCUGUCAGUAAUGGGAAGUGUUGAUUCAGAACAGCACAAUUUGGAAGCUGCAAAUUCAAUCUUUUAAGCUAAAAAAUUCGCACGAAAAAAGUUCUUUUAAUCUAAAAAGGGAGUUAAUAAAAGAUUUACUGGGAAGUGACAAAAGCAUUGGAGCGAUUGCACACUGAAGCGUGCUAAAAGUACAUCUAGAGGUCACUCAGGAGAGAAUUUCACACCUUAAAUUUUUUAAUUAACUUGUGAUUUCUCCUUCCUAGAUGUAGGCAUAAAAAACAUAAGGUAAUUAUGUGAGGAUGGAUAAAUGAAUAAAUUUCAGGCAAUAAAAAGUGUUUCAAUAAUGGUGAGCAGUAAGCAUAUUUAGUAAAAACAAUUAAAAGGAUUUGGAAUGGCAUACAUUUCAUACAGUAUUGAAGAGGACAGCAGCCAGCAGGUUAGGUUACUGUUGUACUGUAGCAACCCAGAAACUACAGAUCUAAUAUGAUAUCGUCAUUAUUCCGUUACUUACCAACCAGAAGUAUGCAAUUACCUCUUAUUCACAUCGCCACCAUUAGUAACUUCUUGUAACCUUGGUUCCAGGCUCGAAUCGUCAGGACCGCCGUACUGCUGGAAUGAACUCAUCACGCUGUGCACCAAAUACAGGGACCUAACCUCCCUCGCGCAGCUCGCAUUCACGGUAUACCAUCUAUAUCUAUCACGGACUUCGAUGAUUUUGAAUUAUAACAAAACAAAACUAUCUUGACAGGUUGAUAUAACUCGUUAGUAUGUUGUUUGACUUUUGAACUGUGCUUUUGUAUUGUUGAUUGAUGUAGGUUUGGGAUGUGUCGUCUGGUGAGGGCAAAAGUGUUGUUGGUGGGGCCACUAUAUUUCUGUUCAACAGCAAGAAACAGCUUAAAACAGGGAAGCAGAAGCUGCAGCUAUGGCCCCAAAAGGAGGCAGACGGAAGAGUACCUACCACAACCCCUGGCAAGGUGGGCAACCUUUUUUUAGGAUCAUCAAUCUCUGCGUCUGUUGUUUGCUUCUAUCACCUCAAGGCGAGAUUAACUUUUCGUAUCGGUUAGUACCUGUAGGUUCCUAAGAAUGAGCGAGGGGAAAUUGAGCGGUUGGAGAGGCUCGUUAACAAGUACGAGAGAGGGCAGAUACAGCAUGUGGAUUGGCUGGACCGUCUGGCCUUCAGUGCGAUCGACAAAGUCAAGGAGAAGGAGUGUGAAAGGCUGGAGAAUUCUUUCCCGAGCCUAGUUGUUGAAUUCUGUAGUUUUGAACACAGAGUUGUCUUCCAGGUUAACAUCGAUUCUCCGUUCAGUUUCUAUGUGUCUUCUUUUCAUUCUGCAUGUUACCAUUUUUUCAUCUGUGUGUUCUUUUCAUUCUCUGGUAACUAUUCAUAGAUAAAGGAGAAAGAAAAUUCUUUUUGAAAUGUUGAGUAAUCUGAUAUUUGUUUAAAUGCAAGAAAUAUAGUAAUGUUCACGAAAAAUUCUACUCUGAUUUUUUUCCUGCUCAGGAAUCUGGAGCGAAUUUCUAUGCACCAACCCCUGUAUCAUUAUCAAACGAGCUUGUUACCGUGUGGGAUCCUGAACUUGGACGAACCAACCCAUCUGAGCACAAGCAGUUAAAGCUUGCCAGGAGCUUGACUCGUGGAAUAAUUGAUAAAGAUCUGAAACCAAGCUCAAAUGAGCGAAAGUGAGUGCAAACUGCAGUAUGUUUUGUUUCGUUUGUUGUUUCCCCGUCACCUUAUGAUCUUCAUGUGGUACCACCAUCACGCUGUAGUAGCACUCAGAGAAUAGAAAGUCCCAUGAUGAAUGCUGCUAAUUUCAAUGGUUGCUAAUAUCUUGAUUUUCUCAAAUGAAUUAAUGAGGCAAACACAUUUUUAUGUUACCUGCAUGAAUCAGAAGUGGCAAGAAGCACAGACCAGGUGCUUAGCUUAACAGGAAUAUACAAUUGUCGGUUUCUAGUUAAAUAACUUUGUGCUUUGUGGGCAGGUCGCUUCAAAGAAUCAUCAAAUGUCCUCCUACACGGACUAUACUACCAGAUGAGAAGCAAUUGGUGUGGAAAUUCCGUUUCUCUUUGAUGUCUGAGAAGAAAGCUCUUACAAAAUUUCUUCGCUCAGUGGAUUGGAGCGAUAUCCAAGUUAGUAAAAAUACCAAUAUCUCAAUUGAUUGUCAUACUUCAUAUGUGCACCAGAGGAAACCAGGGGAUUUCUUUGCUUGCAUGUGCUCUAAAGGACCUGGCAGACUGUUUAAUUUUUUGGAGAUACUAAAUCCACAUACCUCGAUCUAAUUUAUAAAUUAUCUUGCAGCUUCUUAUGUUUAGUAUGUUAUAAUGGGCAGGAAGCUAAACAAGCUGUUGAAUUGAUUGGAAAGUGGGAAACAAUUGAUGUGGCUGAUGCAUUAGAGCUUCUCUCAUCAGAUUUUAAAAGCGAGGAAGUAAGCUAUCUAGGCACCUCUGUCCAUGCUUCUGUUUUUAAUAAAUGUAUGUGAGGUUGUUUUUGUAUUGCUCUUUCAUUGAUAGAGGCUUUUGUUUGUUGCCCUUUAUUCUGUUAACUGAAUUACUACCUCCGCCCGGGUUUGUUGGUCCCCUUCGUAUUUUGUGCCAAACAUUGACCGUAGAUUUGACUACAAAUUAUAAGUUGUAUGUCACAAAACUUAUAUUGUUGGAUUCAUAUCUGAAAGAGGUUUUCAAUUAUACUAUUUUUAGUGUAUUAAAUCAAAGGUCAAAGUCUGACCCAAACUACAAGGAGGACUAAUAAACCAGGACGGAGGUAGUAGUCACUAAUAAUUAUGCAAUUCCCAUUCUAGAUUUUUUUUUUUGAAAAAACGUUGGUAUGACAUCUAGAAGACGUGUGUUCCUUUUGUCGGGUCUGUUUAUUCAGUUUUGCCAUCACUUACACAUACUUCUCUCAUAUAUCGCUUGCUCUGGUGCAGUAGAGACACCGUCUGCUCAUUUUGUCUUGUAUACUAGAUUUAUGUAGUCGUCCUAUUCUGUGUUUGGGAUUGGCAUGGUAUAUGAAAAAUAUUACCGGCGCUGCUGGCUUCUUACCUGGAGUACAAACAUGAGUUUUUUCUAUUUUAGCCUGUGAGCUUUCAUUUCUUAACCUUCUUUAAAAUAACUUUCUCCUGCACCGCUACUAGCACAUUUUUCUUUCCGACCAAAAAGGUUUUCUUAAGGUUAUAGAAGAUUCUCCCACCUCUUAGUAACUAAGCAAUGAUCGAGUAACUAGUCCAUUCGAAUCUGGAUGACAGAUUUUAUCAUCUCAUGCCCUCCUAAAUAUUAUAUCCUAAGUUGUAUUUUUUGUGCAAAGGUCCGUGCUUAUGCUGUGAGCGUACUUGAAAGGGCUGAUGAUGAAGAAUUGCAAUGCUACUUACUCCAGUUAGUGCAAGCCCUUCGAUUUGAACGAUCAGACAAGUCACGUCUGGCACACUUUCUUGUAAACCGCGGUAUGAUCUAUCCUUCUAAUUAAAUUCUACAAUGAAUGUGAUCAUGAGUCCAUUUGUCACAUCUGGUUACUGGAUCAGUAUUUCUUUGUUAUGUGACUACUGAGAAAACUCAAGCAUGCGUUAUGAUCUUUUGUCCAUUUCAGCUUUAUCAAACAUUGAAAUUGCUAGUUUCCUUCGCUGGUAUGUGGUUGUUGAGCUCCAUGAUCAUGCAUAUGCAAAACGAUACUACAGUACGUAUGACAUGCUUGAAGAUGAAAUGAUGAAAGUAUGUUCCCUUCCUUUUUGGACACAUCAUAUUAGCUCUAUCGUUCCUGUUCCUGAUACCUAAUCUUUCAUUAUGUACCAUUGUUUCUGUUAACAGAUGGUUGCUAGGGAGGAUGGGGAUGAAGAUGGGUUUCGACUGUGGCAGAGUUUAUCACGUCAAACGGAACUCACUGCUCAAUUAUGUUCUAUUAUGAAGGAUGUAAGAAAUACUCGUGGUAAUGCAGAAAAGAAAAUCGAGAAACUGAGACAGUUGUUAUCAGGAGUUCACAGUGAGCUUACCCACUUUGAUGAGGUAAAACUUGUUACAAAUGCUUACAUUUACUGUUCUUCAAUGCUAGAAAAACAAGGAUUGUGUAGAUUAACUUGUCUUAGUUGCUUGGAUUGACUAAUUCUGAUAAAUCCUUUCCAGCCAAUUCGUUCACCAUUAGCACCUACACUUCUCCUUACUGGUGUUGUGCCUCAAGAGUCAUCUAUAUUCAAGAGUUCCUUAAUUCCAUUGCGCCUUACAUUUAAGACGGCAAAUGGGGGAACGUCCAAGAUGAUUUUCAAAAAGGGUGAUGACCUCCGCCAGGAUCAAUUGGUAAUUAUUCAAGUCUGAUUCUCAUUCAGUGGAAAUCAUUUUUGGCUUUUGUUAUAGUCUGUAUGUCGGCAUGUAUCACCAUCUUUACAUACUGGAUCUUACAUUCUGAACUAGUGGUUACAUUGUGAUAUUCCUUUGAAGCAGGCCAGUCAUAUCUUCAAUCCUUGCUAACUUGCCACUUAAGCUACUCCCUCCGUUCCUAAAUAUAAGUCUUUUUAGACAUUUCAAAUGGACCACAACAUACGGAUGUAUGUAGACAUAUUUUAAAGUGUAGAUUCAUUCAUUUUGUUCCGUAUGUAGUCACUUGUUGGAAUCUCUAAAAAGACUUAUAUUUGGGAACGGAGGGAGUAUAAAAAAAUUGAACAUUACGCAUUGUAUGUGAUUGCAUGCUGACUUGAGUCUUCUUUCAAAGGCACAUAACUGUGUCCAAUCAUUGUUUUAAAUCAGUGACACUUUCUGCUUAAGCAUUGAUCUUAGGUCGCUCUUCUGUGUUACUCAGUCAUGUUGAGAAUACGGUGGUUAUAGUUCCUACAAGAGUACUAACCAUGAGCUGCAUAUCACAUUCCUGUUUUUGUGGUGCAUGUAUAUGUAAAUUUCAAUGCAUAGAUAGCCUAUGUUUAGCAUAGGCACCAUGUCAUUGUAUAAAUAGAUACAUCCUUUUUACAAUAGUGGAGCUGCAUACGAGGCAACAUGCAGCAUAUAGAUGCUUAAAGAUAUGGUGACCAUUCUUGUGCUAUUAUUUAAAUAUUGGUCUCAGUGUACAUCUCAGUACCUACCUACUUGUAUGGAAGGUAGAGAUAUCAUGACUAAUUCGUGAUUCACUUUGUAGGUCAUUCAAAUGGUCUCUUUAAUGGACCGAUUGCUCAAACUAGAAAACAUGGACUUGCACCUUACUCCAUACCAAGUUCUUGCAACUGGACAGGAUGAAGGGAUGGUUGAAUUCAUUCCUUCCAGCCCGCUUGCACAGGUAAUUUGAGUAUUUGAAGAUCAUGGAAGCCAGUAGCUAAUGUCGGUUUUUAGAAGACUGGUUAUGUUUUACGCUGUAACAAAAUUUUCUACAUAUUGUAGAUUCAUUCUGAAGUAGUUUGUUGAUUUAAAUUGUUGUUUGUUCGCAGAUUAUAUCAGAACAUCGCAGUAUUACAAGUUACCUGCAAAAGUUCCAUCCUGAUGAAGAUGGUCCUUUUGGUAUAACUGCCCAAUGCUUGGAAACUUUUAUAAAAAGUUGUGCUGGUUACUCUGUCAUUACAUACAUUAUGGGUGUUGGAGACAGGUUGGUGCCUUCUCUUUUUAAGUACUCCAUAUCUGUAUAAGAAUCAGGAUAGCUAAUCCUUUAUGCUUAGAAAUGAAUAUACAGAAGCAUUUAUUUCAGUUUUCUGUACAUUCAGCAAUCUUCAACUGUGAUGCUGCAUGUCCAACUCCAUUCAUUUUCAUUUAGAGGAAACUGAAUUUAUUUGAGUGCCCCACUUCAUUUUUAUUUUUCUUGAUUACUGUUCAGCGAUGAGUAUGGUUGUUUUUCGUGUACCAUUUUGUAAGGAUUAUAUAGCUCAACUAGGUGUUUAUUAAUUGUGACCGAUAUUCUGAUUUAUAGCGCCAACAAGAUGAAAUGCUCCUCAUUCUUGUAAUCUGUCUAUUGUCGGGGUAUUUCUAUAGAAACUUUUAUCAAUAGCAAGGAUCUGGUUGGCUGACAAUGGCAUCCAGUUCUUUUUUCCAGUCCAUUUGUCUACAUGAGCUAUAUGCAGUUUGCGAGGAAUAACAAAUUGCUGAUUUCCCCUCCCUCUCUAUUUCUCUCUAGGCAUCUAGAUAAUCUUCUUAUAAGAGAUGACGGGUGCCUUUUCCAUGUGGACUUCGGUUUUAUUCUGGGUCGAGAUCCAAAGCCAUUUCCACCUCCAAUGAAACUAUGUAAAGAAAUGGUCGAGGCCAUGGGUGGCACGGAAAGGUAAUUUGUUGAUCCGUUCUGUCAAUACUUGAAUUAUUAUUCAUUUGCUACAGCUCUUUGAAUCGCUGCAACUUGCCUUUUGGAUUUCAGCCAAUACUAUACAAGAUUCAAGUCCUACUGCUGUGAAGCAUACAACAUUUUAAGGAAUAACAGCAGCCUUAUAUUGAAUCUAUUCACGUUGAUGGAAAGAUCGAGUAUUCCAGAUAUCUCUACCGAGGAAAAUGCGACCCUUAAGGUAAUUAAAUUGGUUUUAUGAGUGGAUUUUUUUUCUUCACAAAGAGCAGAGCAGCCUAUAAUCCCAUACCGUUUCCCCCUUUUAUGGUGUGCAUUGAUCAGGUUCAGGAGAAAUUCCGGCUGGAUCUGGACGAUGAGGAGGCUAUACAUUUCUUCCAGGGUCUUAUCAACGACAGUGUCAGCGCGUUGUUCCCUCAAAUGGUUGAGACCAUCCAUAGAUGGGCUCAAUAUUGGCGAUGACCACUUCUCCUUGUUUGUAUAGGGUGAGUUUGGUGAUGAUGUCUGGCUGUUGACAUGAUAUUAUCGCAUAAUAACAUGCUCUUGCAAAGUUGCAAUGGCCACUGAUGACCUCCACUCUUUUAUUUAAUCUUCACCAGCUGCAACGGACUAUUAACAAAUAACAACAGAUGUCAAGCAGAGACUGAAUGUUAAGAGGAGACGAAUGCGAUAGAUUUACAGCAUAACGGGGAAACAACGGACAAAUGAGCACACAUACUUUAUUUCCCCGUUGGAUACUUCUAACUUACGAAAUGCAAACUUGUGAAUAUGUCUUCUUCAUGUAAAUCGUCUUGUGUGUGAUGUAAUUAACAAAGACUGUGAAGUGCAAAAUUGUGAACAUGCUAGCAUUUAACUUGGUCUAUGUGUGAUGUAAUUCGGCAUAUAUAAUAUGUGGUGGCAAUGUGUUGAUAUAAGCCUAGGAAAAAAAUGUAACAAGCGGGCGCUUAUUCUAGUUUACCAAACAAUAGAGUGCUCAUUUGUUGCUAUCCAGAAAAUUUCGUGAGAUAUUUUUUCGCAGAUAAUGAAGAUCUCUCAUCUGAAACUGGCCUCGACUCAUGGCUAAUGCCAAGUCAUUGUUUCGAAACUGGCCUUGACUCAUGGCUCAUGCCAAGUCAUUGUUUCUUCUCUGAGAAAAAAAAAGUUGGUGAAUACGGAUUGUUGGAUUUGGAAGGAUCUUGAAACAGAGAAGACGACGAAUGAUCUGGUGAAAGUGCUUGGCGUUGUUUGACUCAGGGGGAUAACAAAAUCUCAGAAGAGCAUAAGCAAGAGAGCACAUUAUUCCCUUGCGUACAUAGUGCAUAGAAAUAAGUAUGAAAUCAGUGAUAAUUAAUAUAGAUCGGAGCGAAUAGCAAUAAUCAUAACUACCAACACUACAACAAAUUAGAUUGACGGCCGACUUGCUUGUCUCAUCACAAACAAUCCGUUUCACUCACGGCAGGCAGGCAAAUAGCUAAGAAUCUUAUCACAAGCAACCCGUUUUACUCACGGCGGGUAGGCAAAUAGUAGCUAAGAAACUUUGUGUAAAGAACAACACAUGAAAAAACAAAUUUCGCACAUUUGUUGCCUUGGUCUGUCGGUAGCUUGGCCUAGGAUCUCAAGUUCUAAACCAUUUGAUUCGUCCCUGGGGCGACAAAUCCCUGCAGCGUUCGCUGUUGGCUGUCGACAAUAGGAGACACGCUGACGGCAUCCCCAUCAUUCCCAAACGAGNNNNNNNNNNNNNNNNNNNNNNNNNNNNNNNNNNNNNNNNNNNNNNNNNNNNNNNNNNNNNNNNNNNNNNNNNNNNNNNNNNNNNNNNNNNNNNNNNNNNNNNNNNNNNNNNNNNNNNNNNNNNNNNNNNNNNNNNNNNNNNNNNNNNNNNNNNNNNNNNNNNNNNNNNNNNNNNNNNNNNNNNNNNNNNNNNNNNNNNNNNNNNNNNNNNNNNNNNNNNNNNNNNNNNNNNNNNNNNNNNNNNNNNNNNNNNNNNNNNNNNNNNNNNNNNNNNNNNNNNNNNNNNNNNNNNNNNNNNNNNNNNNNNNNNNNGUUGUUCUACCUUACCCUGUAAAGGUGCCAAGGAUAGAAGCGCGAUGAUGGUCUCCCCUUCGGGUGACAUGCAUCACUGUGGAGCCCCAAUACCUCUCGAGAACCGGCCUCGUGGUUUGCAGGUGAAACCCUAUGAUCCAACUCUUUGGAUUGGACGAUGGGCAUCUUGUCCCACCUCGUCACCUUCUUGGGACGUCGCUUUGGAAGACCUUCAUUCCUUUUAUGAAUUCCCUGUGUAAUGGAAUUGUGGUUAGCAGGAUAUCGGCAGGCGAUGCCGGUUGCUAUCUUGUGACUUGUGCGGCAGCGAUGUUGACGAUACGCAAUGUUCCGAGUCGUAUCAAUACUUUGUAGUCAAGACUGAACUCGAUAAACCAAAUACUUCUUGUAAGUUUGAACGAAUGGAGUAAUAUAAAAGAAGCUUGCAAUCUGAAUCCAGUUCAAAAUUUGCAGCUCCAUGUUUUUUUUAGAAUUUAAACUCCAUGGCUACUUGCUAUCCAGUGCACACUUUCGAUGUAUGGGUGUGUAUGUGUUAGAAAAUGAAAAAAAAAGAGAGGCAAAACUAGACACGUGCUUUCUUGGCCGAGGAAAAAAAAAGGAGGACAAAAACUGAAAGAAGACGAGGAGCUCGCGACCCCAAAACCCUAACCCCUGUAACUCUCGGCGGCGGCGGCGGCGGCGAUGGCGGACGGAGGCGGUGGACGGGCGGCGGAGCUCAAGGACCAGGGGAACGAGCAGUUCAAGUCGGGGAACUACCUCAAGGCCGCCGCGCUCUACACGCAGGCCAUCAAGCUCGACUCCGACAACCCCACCCUCUACAGGUGCCCCCUCUCCCUCCCUUCCCAUCUCCGCUCGUUCAGUGCGCGAAACCCUACUGCUCUGAUCGAUCUCCUCGGGCGGGGAUGAGUUGAGAUCGUGCGUGCGCUUGUUUGGUCAGCUGGUCAGCUGGGAUGAGGAAAUGCGCGGCGUUAGCACAUAUGUUGCGGUGUUGUGGAUUUAGGCUUUGGGAUCGAUGUGCCCUGAGGUUUGAUUUGCGUGUUGCCACCUGGCGAGGAUUGCAAAUGGCAUCUCUUUUCCUACAGGAAUUGAGACAUAUGCCAUCUCAUUUCAUAUGGUUUUCCUAUUCGUAUCCUAUGGAUCAAAGGAGGCCUAAGUUCUGGAGCUUUGGACUUAAAUAGCUGUAUUGGUGUUGAAACUACAUUAACAGCUAAUAAGCCUUCCGUGUGGUUGUUUCGAUGUCAAUGGAAAUUAGCUUGUAUGCUUCCAAUAAUCCGAUCUUAGCGAUUAUUCAUAUUCCUGCGAUAUAGCCCAUCGAUGCACAGUGUUUGCUGUGCUCUACCCUGCUGCAGGUUACAAGACAAACCAUUUCCAAAGUACCUGUUAUACAAGUCAAGGCUGAGAAAAUAUUCUUUCUAUCAUUGCCUUGGGAGGAUUUACUUCUGGAUGCAACUAAUAUUCACAAAUGUAGGGAAACCUUCUAUUCCCAGCACCUUUUGCUCCAAGCAAGAAGAUGUGACUUCUUCAGUUGUAAUGUAUAAGCAUUCUAAGAGUCCUUACUUCGCAUAGCCGGUUAUGAUUAGGUUAUACCUUACAUGCUGUUGUUGUUGUGGAAUCAGUGCUGUUGAUUCUAUCAUAAACCCACACUUUGCCUGUUUGACAUAGAUUGCAAUAUGACUAUAUGAGGCACAUGAUGAUCGGUGAGAAUGAGUGUGGAAGAAAGUUAAGCAACCCUACUAACUGGUUUAGGCAGUCAGCACCUCAGCCCUUAGGCGAGAGACUGAAUCCUAAACCAUCCAAUCACGAGGGGCGGGCAAUGAAACUGCAUUGAAAGAAAUGAGGAGGAUCUGAUAUUGCAUAUAGAUUAAGGAAGCAAUCAAUCAUGUCAUGUGAUGUGUGCUAGACAAAUCAUUCGGUAUUCUGUUUGAGAAGUUAAGUUGGGAUCUAUUAUUGACAGAAAUUCACAACAUAACUCAGAAAACAAAACUAAUAAAUUUGGUACCAAUAUUGAUAAUAGGCCAUUUUUACAGCCUUACAUUAGGUACUAUUCAGAGUUAAAUUUGUCAAAAGGAAAUCUUGACCUGUGUUAUGAAUGUUGAUUUGAAAUUUUGUGACAUGUUAGGUAUCAAUAUUAUCUGUGUCAUGUAUAUAGUUUUCAGAAAAUUUUGAAACUUUAAAGGAUGCCAACCGGGACUGGGUCACCUGGUGCGCCAGAUAUUCUCCCAGACGUCAGGUAGAGAUACUGAAUCCUAAACCAUCCAAUCAUGAGGGGCAGGCAAUGGAACUACAUAGAGGGAAGCGAGGAGGAUCUGUUAUUGCGUAUAUAGAUUAAGGAAGCAAUCAAUUAUGCAAUGUGUUCUAAACAAAUCAUUCGGUAAAUUCUAUUUGAGAAGUUAAGUUGGAAUCUAUUAUUGACAAUGUUUUUCUAGGCUUACAAUAAUCAAACGAUUUGGGAGGCCUUAUUUGCUAGCCAAAAACAGAGUUAAGAAUGAUUGUGUUGUCUUCUUAAAGCUGACAAAAUUUGGCAACGGCAACUGGAGGGUAUCUAUGCCGCUAAGCAGGUGUCAAAUUAAUUGGUCUGAAAUCUCAAAAGAAAAAGAAAAAGGUCUGAGAGCCAAGCCAACUUUCAAGUAGUAAAAAGCAGGCAUUAAGUUGGAGAGUUGUGAUGUAUUGAUUUUAUUGAAAUAAACUUUUUGGAAACUUCUGAUAUCUUUUUUAUUUAAAUCACUGCCAGCAACCGAGCUGCUGCAUUUCUGCAGCUGGUUAAGCUUAAUAAGGCACUUGCUGAUGCUGAGACGACAAUAAAACUGAAACCAGAAUGGGAGAAGGUAUAGAAAUGCCAAAUCGCACUCUGCUUCACCUACUGUCAUUUAUUUUGCUAUCAGGCUUUACAGCCUAACUUCUUCCACAAUACAGGGUUAUUUCAGGAAAGGAUGUGUUUUGGAGGCCAUGGAGCAGUAUGAGGAGGUUAGAGUAAAAGGCAAAUGACUUGCUACUUUUGAUCGACGGGGGAGAGGGAUUUGGUCACACCCUCUCUUUUUCCUUAACGUUCCGCAAAGUGUACACUUUGACCAAGUGUCCAUGUCAACUAUGUUGUAGCAAGUUGAGAAACAAUCACAUUAAAAAAUUCGUGCUUUAAGUAGUGUUUCUAUUGAUUGCAAGUAUGAAAAAUAAAGAUCUGAGGAUGUAGAUCAGAUGACUACUCAGUUGAUACCCUUUGUGGUGAAAUUGAUAAAUAAUGGGUGAACCAAGGUCUUAAGCUUUUUGAAAAUGUUGUCUAUUUCACUAUAUUACGUUAUACUUGCUAUUGUUCCAAAAAAUAUAAGAUGCAUCUUGUUCUUGAAUGUGAUUAUUUUGUGUUGAGGUUUUAUAUGAACCAUACAAUGGCAUUCCUUUAUUGUUGCUGUUUGCAUGCAUCCAUUUACGAAGCCUGUUUUUUGUGGACAAAUUGUUUAACUAUGGCCCAUGUUCUCCUUUAUCUGACCGAAAUCUGGAAAGUAUCUGCUCAAACUGUAUAUGUAUUGAGAUGAACCAGUGUUAAAUUCAUAACUAAGAUUAUGUUACGUUAUGUUCUCGUGCAGGCAAUAUCUGCUUUUCAAAUAGCUUUGCAGCACAAUCCACAAAAUACAGAAGUCGCGAGAAAGAUCAAGAGGCUUACUCAGUUAGCAAGGGAACAGAAGCGAGCUGUUGAUGUGGAGAACCUGCGUUCCAAUAUUGACAUCGGGAAGAACUUGCAGUCAUUGAAAAAGGAGCUGGUGAGUUUUUUUAUUGCAGCCAUUGCUACCCUCAUAAAAGUGCGGAAACAGGAACCAAGAAGUUUUAUCAGCAAGGCAGUCCAUGAAUAGUUUUUUCAAUUUCUUUUUAUUUAAUUUCAUGUUUUUACACUUCUAGCAUUCCAAUUCAGAUGCACUUGAAUACUCUUCUCAAAAUUCAAAUAUGUAUACAGAUGCACGUUGUAGAUUAUAUCACCUGCAUAAAAAUUUAAUGUUAUGAGUUUGAUUGUUGCAUAAAUUACAGAAGAUAUUGACAUCUGUUGUAGACAAAACAUGGCCUGUCAUGUAUGUUUCAUGAUUUAUGUAUUUCUAUUGCAGGUUACAAAGUAUGGAGAUGGAGAAAUGGGACAAAAUAUAUUCUCAUUUGUUAUCAGUGUGAUUGAAUCAGCGAUAAAGGUUUGGCAUGACACAGGAAAGGUGGAUGCUAAGGUCAAUUUUCUUCUUGAUGAUCAGAAGACUGACACUGAAAAAUAUGCCCCAGUGGUUAACAUUGAGAAGGUAUUAUGCUGCUUCAGGACUCUUUGUUUGCUGCUUCUCAAACUUAUACGGUGCAUAAGCAAUGGAAAAUCCUUAAGUUUUAUAGUACAAAGGAUCUGGUUUUAUUUGAGAUAUCUAUUUGUUUCUUUACCAUUAUAACUUAUAUCCCAAAUUUUUGACUUAUCAACACUUAUGUGCUCUCUUUUCUGGUAGGCCUUUGAGUCACCCCAUACCCAUGGCAGUUGCUUCGCAUAUUUGCGGCAAUACUCUGAGGAGUCUUUUUCAAAGGCUGCCUGUAUGGUAGCACCUAAGAGCAUCAUCUCCUAUCCACAGGUUCGAUUCACCUCUUCUCUGUGUUGGUGUGAUCUGCAUUUCCAUAGUGUGAUGUUGUGUCCCUUGAACCGGUAUUCAGUUUGUUUCAUCCUUGAUAAGUAAUGAUAGCAUGCAUGGUAUCUUUGGUGCUAGAAUGUACUCCCUCCGUAAAGAAAUAUAAGAGCAUUUAGAUCACUACUUUACAGAGGGAGUACAAGAUGAGUCUAACAUGACCCGUCAUAUGCAGGUCUGGAAAGGGCAAGGAUCAAGAAAAUGGAAGCUUGACCAGAGUGAUGGGUUCUUUGUACAAUUUGAAUCACCAAUUUUACGGAAGAUAUGGUUUGUUGCUAGCACAACAGAGAAGGGACGAGCAUUGUGCAGGUAAUUCUCCUUCUUCAGUCCAAAGAUCCGUGUAUAUUCAUCUACCUGUGACUUGGCAAUUUGAAAGCUGUCAAGUCAAAAUCUUAUCCGAAUAUGUCUCUAUUGUAGCUCCUGUUGUCAUGAUUGCCUAUUUAUUAAUGUUGCUUGUGCUAAAGUUUUGCUGAUCCUUUAAGAUUCCUCUUAAAUUCAGGAUAAGCAUCGACAGCAUUAGCAAGUCAACACGGCAAUCAAAUAAUCAACUAGUUGUACCACCACAUUAUUAAUUUUCGUUAGCAAGACUCAAGCAACCCAGGAUACGAACAUAAUGCACUCACAUGGAUAUUCUUCUAGAAGUCUACUGGUAUUUCUACAUGCUUAUAAAGGAAACUGCUAACCUUCCAUUUUAGCUGGCAUGUACCCCGUUACGCAUGCAAUCUUGUGAUGCUCAACAACACCUUUCUUGUGAACUUUAGAUGCAUCUGCUGUUGCACCGCUGAGUACUUUACAACCUUGAGUUGAUGCCUUUGGGGUUGCUUUCGCAACCUGUUGGAUAACCAUCACUCUUGCCUGCCCUUUAUGGUAAUCACAAGCUUUAAUAGCGUACCAUGCCUCUUCUUUGGCACUUUUUUUUGGCAGGAGCCCUGAGCCCUUGGACAUUACCAUCCACGAGAUCCUUCCUCGUAUAUUCAAAGAGAACGAAACCAGUGCUUGAACGACAGGUGCACCGUCGACGAGAUCUUGAUUCCACCACCCCUGACUGCGUGAUCUGUAUUGCUCGCGGUGGUUUACGGUUGAGAAGGGGGCAGGUAUUUUCUCACACAGGAAGAACUGAAUGCCAUAUGUCUUGUAAACCGACGAUCCAGUGUCGGUGUCAUGUACACCCAGGCACUCCAAUUUUGUUGCUGUGUGGUUUUUGCUGUAUGCAGUGUAUACAAGCUUUGGUGGGGUUAUGCUAGUUGCGUUUCUUUCGUUCCUAAAGAGAGAUAUUCCAGUGUGCAUUAGAUGCUUGUGCUCUGAUUUUAUUGUGUUAUGGCUGGCCUCACACUUUUUUUAAUAGAUAUAAGCCCCACAUUGUUGUGAUGUUGAAGCACACCGAAAUUCUCUCCUGAGCAAUCUGCAUGGAUGGAUAAUGAUGAAACGGUACCCUGGAAAUCUGGCAAGUGAUGCAUCGCCAUCCGUUGCUUUUCAGGCGCAUGAUGGUGUGAUGUAAAGAUUGUAGAGCCGUACCCGCAUCGAGAGCUAAUUAGACUAAACUAAACCCGUGUGCUGAGUAUAGUGCCUCCACCUUUUCUUUUGUCUAAAUCAUGAGAUACUCGAGUGCGUCUGUAAUUUGACUAACUAAAAUGUAUACAGCUGCAAUGAGUAGCAUUUCGCGUACAAACUAUAUGCUAUAUCUUUGUACGCUAUCAUAAUCUGGCCUCAUCUAAGAAUAAGGGGUACAUGGAUCACUCCAGUGGACACGCAAAAUAUUUUGUACGUACUAAUUAUGAUAUAAAAUAGCAGUAUGUCAAGUCGGUAUCUGGUUAAUCAUUGGGGAGGUAGCAAAGCAUCAGCAAGAGUUGCUCUCCAUACAAAUAAACGCUAUGCGAGUAGCGUUAUAGGCAAAUAAACACUCCGACAUGUACAAAGCCACCUGCUGCUGUAGAUACAGUAUCAGCCACCUGCUGCUGCAAGCGACGGGCUGCUGCUUUCGGUGGCCGCCCUCCUCUCCGUUCCCGCCAUGCUCCGUUUCCGGCGAGAGCGACGCCGGCUGCAAGCAAGCAAGCGAGCGAGGAGCAUGUGACCAAGCCAGGCUCGCUCUGGAUCGAUGUUAAGUGUAAGCGUGACGGGUAUUAAUGGGCGGCGUGGCGAGGCGCGUAUUUACGCCGUCACACGCGACCGAUGCAGCUCUGCAGGCCUAGGCGGAGGGGGAGGGGUUGGGUGCUUUCGCUGUAGUAAGGGAUGAGAUCGCUCUGUUCCGUUCAGUUCACUAAAGAUCCACUCAAGAUUCGGAUCGGUGCCACACCUAGUACACGAUCCGUAGGAUUUUCGUGUGUGUGUGAGGGAGAGUUCGGUGACAUACCAUGUGUGUACAUGUGGUUAGAUAGUUAAGAGAACAAUGGUAUCCCCUGCCGUCAGUGUUCAAGUCCCUCGCAUUUUUCUGAAUUUAUUUUAGGAUUUUUGAUGAUGCGUCUUUAGUGGGAUGAGACAUUUUCGUCGACUACGAGGCGCCUACGAUGACCUCGUCAAUCUCAAGAUGAUAUGCUGGCUCUGUCUCUUGGAGGUGCUCAUAGGAAUGGAGUAUGCGUUUAUAUGAGUGAGUGUAUGCGCGUAUAUAUGAGCGUUUGUGUUUGUACCGUAUUCAAAAGAAAAAGAAAUACAUGUAUCUGUGUGUCCGGUAGCGCAAACUAAUAUAUACAAAAUAAAAUAAAAUGCGCAGUUGUUUUUUUUUUAGAAAAUUAUACUACCAAGUAUUAGUACCUCUUGGAUGACGUGCGCGUAGAAAGGACUGUGCGUACGUUACGUACCAUGCGUGGACGAGAAAGAAAAAAGGAAUGGGCAAAAGCAUAAGAGUGUGUAAAAGAAGACGCAUGAGGCAUAUGCAUGCGCCAACGCGACACAGGCCAAACUCACCCAUGGAUUUAUGGAUGCCGCGACGGGCGACGUGACCGCAUCUGCGCGCCGGCCGGGACGAUGGAUAAAACGAACGACAGUCCUUGGACGAUGCUUGCACGACCGAUGAUCCAACGGUGCAAAUCCACGCAUCAGAUGUGAUUAAAGGCUCAGCUGGCUCUGUCGUCCAUAAAUCGUGCAAGGAAUGCCGUCUGUGUAGCAAUGCUCUAAAACGAAAGAGAAAAAAGGUACACAUGCACGCAUGCAUAUGCCGCGAAAGUACGCACAACACAAACCGAGCACUGUUCCAAAAGAAAAGGUACCACCGCACAACACAACGCAAACACAUCCAUCCGUGAAUGCCGAUCCGUCGAUCGAUCAGAAACUCAGGAUCGUUCGCAUGAUCAUCAUGACCGUCAACUUUAAAUUUCGCUCCUCCUUUUGACGCAGCCCCGCUCCUUUCCCGUUCUUUGUUGCUACCUUGCAUAUGUAGUAAAAUGCCCCCAAAACAAAAGCCCUGCGAAGCAGAGCACGAGGUGAGAUUGGGUGAGAUGCCUGAAUGCCGCACGGCCUCCUGAGAUAGCUACCGCUUCUGCAAAAAAAAGUUAGGGCUUUUUUUUUUGCGACGAACCCAUCCGCAGUCUACAAGGUCACGCCGGCUCCAUGUGGGAGAGGCAGCGGCGGCGUGCCUUCGGGCCGUCUCAGAGUUUGUGGUGGGUUGGAGCACCAAGGACCCGGUUGUAAUUUAGUUUUCUUUGGGGAGCUUGUAUCACUGGUGUUCUUUAAUAUAUUAAUUAUGAUUUGGGGUUUUUUCUGCAAAAAGUACAUUCAUUAGAUACAUCAUGAGACGUAUUUUUAUACUGUCCUAGCAAUGUGCCCGUGCGUUGCAACGGAUCCAAAGUAGAAUAAUACAUGUUCACAAACUUGAAAGAAAACACUCUAGUUUUGAUAUACAUAUGUCACUAAAAAUAUAUUAUGUUCCACUCAAAAUAUAUUCCUCGGGCUGUUUUGAUGAGGUGGGUGAGGGAUGUGGUUGGUUUCAAGAUACUUAGGUUUUAGGUUUGAUCUAAUGGUCAGAAAUGAUGAAUGGCAGACACACCAUCAUCACCAACUGAGUCUUUUAUAGGGGUAGAGAUAUUUGAUAUUUCACAAAAAUAAAUACUAUAUGUUUGAUACUUUCGAUGGUAGUAGGAUAUAUAUUGACACUUUUCGCUAUAAAUUUGUUUAAAGAAUGCAAUUUUGUCUUUAAAAGAUUUCUUUAUGCACUACAUCAUGUAACGGAAGGAUCAUCAAAACAGAUGAUGCGUGGGUCCAUCUACCAUUGAAAGAUAAAGGUAAAAAUAAAAGAGAGGACGAAGAAUAAAGGUGCCACAAUGGUAAAAAAGUUUUUUUAUACACUCAUAUAAAAACUCAAUGAAAGACGAAAAAGUUACAUUUCUCGUCUUUUUUGUUCCCAUGAUAAGAGGUGGCUACGGCGAACCCAUCCCCUCCAGGCACCAUCGACGAGUUCAUGGUUCAUUUCCCUUCUACCUACAGCUCCGCUGCGUAGACGGGGAAGAGAAUCUCGGUGCCUUGACCGAAUCUAGUAGUGUAGGUUAAGGUUUUCUACUCCUCGUAGAGAUGACACUUCUUCGUUAAGUUGGUCUUCCAGGCUAUGAUCCUGUCCGAGUCCGUCCGUCUGUACAGAGUCGAUGCACUAAGAGGUUAGGCUGGUUCGGCACAGAAGCGGCGGCAAAGACUUAGCUGCUCGAUUUCAUUUUUGCGGUGAACUUAGUUGCUCGUUUUGACCGUGGCCAUGGUCGUUCAAUAGUUCAGGGACCUCGAUAAAUUCUAUUUUUUACCCCUAAAAUAUGUGCUUGUGACAGAGAACAUCACAAAUCGGGGUUUUUGUCAAAUUUUUACUACUAAAUUUAGCAUUCCUUCACAUUUUAGUAUGUUUGAGGUAAUUUAUUCUUUAAUAAUAAUGGAUGCAUGUCUUUUCCAAAAAAAUUGAAAAGUUUAUAUUAACGAAAGAGGAAUAUGCAUGCGGCACGGGCGCGCCGGCCAAACUAACCGAUGGAUUUAUGAUGCCGCGACGCGUGACGUGACUGCCUCUGCGUUCGCCGGGGGAUAGAACCAAGAGAGGAAAAGUACUGCACAUGCAUCUGCCGGCCGGCACAAAGUACGCACAAAGUAAACACAUCCAUGAGUAUGGAUGGAUGGAUCAAAACUCAGAAGCGUCGCAUGACCCGUCGGCUUUAAGUUUGCUCCUCCAUCUCUUCUUUUGACGCUCUCCGGUCACGAAUGCCGUGCUAGACACAGACACACACACACACAUGUUCUCCGCUCUUUUCCCUUUUUAUUCUCCCAUGUAUUCUCCGUGCAAAAUUGCUAACCGUAACAUUUCUCAGAUUUUCACCGUGAACCAACUACCUCGUCCUCUGAUUGAUUCACCAGUCCAUAAAAAAGAAAGUUUCUGUAGACGUAGCAAUAGCAUGCUGAUUCUUUGUGGUUGCUUUCUUACGUGCAAGUAGCACAGCGGCCUUGCGAGCAGAGCAGAGCACCGGCAUGCAUGAUCCCGGAAAUUCUUCGGAGUUCGGCUGACGGUGCUGACGUGCUAUACCUGGAUGAUGAUGUGACAGUGGGGAGGUCUUGGUGUGGGGUCUCCGUGGCAGUGGGCCGGGGACCGUCCGAUUAUAUGUCAUCCCAUCUGUCGAGCAAAGCGAGGGCAAAAUAAGUAAAGCGCACGCGGUCAAAGCUUGAGAACCAAUUCGGCUUUGUGAACCCUGGUCAAAGAGAGCCAAAAAGUCCAAGCAAGAAAACGGAGAGCAAAAAGGAUAAGAGCGUCUAAGGCCGGACUUGGCAAAUCCGGGACCUCAACCGCCCGCGAACAUUGACCGGCCAUGACUCAAAUAAUGCAUUUCACAUCCGCGUACCUCAUAUCCGGUGCCCUAUAUCCAUGCUACGCGUGCAACGUGAUGAACUAUUCUACAUGAUCAAACAACGGACAACGAAAUCGACAUCAGGCGGACAACCAAAUGCACAUAAACCCACUCUACAUCAUCCAAAAGAUCAUCGGAGUUCAUCGCCGGACAAGUUCUUAACUUAAACGACUGAAAAACGAUAAUAAAUGGAGGAGCGUCUUCACCACUUCCUCACCAGACCUUUGCCCUUCCGGUCGUCGGCACAGCUAUAGGCGUCCGCAGCUGGUGGAGGAUCUUAGUCGUCGGAGAAGGACGUGGAGCUGUGGUCGUCGCCGUCGUUGGAUGAGGACGACCAGACCCUUCAUCCGGCGGAUGGCCCUAUCCUGUUGUUGCUUCAACUUGGCCACCCGAGCCGCCUCUAUCGCCGCUCCGCCGCCUCACGCUUCGACUACUCAAUGGCAGCCGGAGCACCUUCGCAUUCUUCUACCAUAGGCGGCGAGCGUCCGUGUCCGCCGCCGUCAGCGACCGGCGGUAGACCCAAGCGAGGAGCCACUUGUUCUUGUCAGGCUCCACCGGCAACCCGCGACAGCGCCGAAUGGACUGCUCCGCCGCGUCCCUCUCCCUUGCCUGCUACCUCUCGUGGCGGGCGGCGUGCACCUCCGAUUCCGGAGUGCACGUGCGGGCCGGCGAAGCGGGCACUAGCACCAACCGCUGCCCCGCACGGAGCAGCGGCUAGCGGGGGAAGGGGAAGGCGCGGGGGCGAAGCGGAUUGCGCUGCCCUGGCGGAGCUGCGCGCGGGCCGGGAGGGGCCAGCUUCAGCGUCCGCUGUGCGCCGACGUGGGAGCGGCGACGGUGCAGAUCCGGAGUUGCUCCCUGUAUCCACCUUCGACCGCUCCAACGCAAUGCGGAGGGCCAUCUCCUCCUCGACGUCGAGAUCGGAGCCGGAGUGGCUGCCAGAGCUCAACAUGUCACCAUAUUGGAUCGAAAUCGAAGAGGGGAGAGAAAGGGACGAAGCGAGAGAGAAUAGUUAGUGAGGUAGGUUCGGAGAGGGGACAUAUUGGGGUUAUUUUGUGAGACAGACGGUGGUCGGGGGUGGGCCGGGUGGACACGCCCGGGCCGUCCCAUAUUCGCCCUUCAUUUGGGCUGGAUAUGAGGGGCUUCGAACAACCCGGGUGUUUGAGGCCUGUUUGAGGCACCCGGGUGGGUUGUCUUUUUUGUGACCGAUCAGUGACCAGUCCGCCCGGCCGGGCGUUUGAGACUGGUUUGAGAUGCGCGACUGUACAUGCUCUAAGGCUUUCUUUGUAAGGGCCUCUCCAACGCUGAUCCUCAAACCGCCCGCAAUUGUCUAGACUGGGCCGUCCAGACGUGUUUUGUCAUCCAACAUGAUCCUCUAUCGGUCCGCUCUGCGCUUCAGACGUCCGUUUUCCACAAAACGGAAGCAAACUGGGGGAGCUAUGCGAGCGUCCGGACCGCUACCAUGCAAGCGUAUGACAAAUCUGGCCCACCCCAAAACUCUCCCUCGCCUGCUCCCUUUCCCGCUCGAAGCGGUCAGCGACGUUCAGUGACACAUUCAUGUUGGCUCAGAGCGGACGCGGCCUCUCACAUCGGUCCGGCCGAGAGCUCCGCCCGAGCCGCUUUCUGAUGCAUGCAAUUGUUUCGUGGUCACAUGAUAGCCCUUCCGCUUGCCUACCUGCAUUAAACAUGUGCGGAUACCGAGGAACCUACUCCGGUGCCACCUGUCCAUCCGUCUGCGGCCCACCAUUAACUACGACUGCUGACUCUACUUAAGCAGCCUAAAACCCCGGACUGCGGGCUUUCGCUCUUACCCAUGAAGGGAUAAGAGCGUCUCUCCGUCCCACUUUGUUUUUUCGUUGAUCAUCAUCUCCUGGCAUAGUGGAAGCACUCGACGAGGCCCCUCGCCGGUUGUCCUACCAUCCGCCCGUUAUUGAAACCUCAGGCCAAGUCAUAACAGCAUCCACAACAUCCUCCGCUCCAUUUCUCCUUUCGGCACCACAACCGACAUGUCCUCCUUGGGCUUAAAAGCUGUCUGGGACAACCUCUCGUCCGAGCAGAAGCAGGAGAUUGCCGCCAUUGCAGUCGGAUGGCAAGACGGCAGGCAGACGGAGGCCAACACUGCAGACGCGCCAAUGGAAAAGGUGCCCGAAGAUGAGCCGAUACCCCCAUCCUUGUCGGCAAAAUGCCGGCAUCACCUGUUGGGGAACGCAGUAAUUUCAAAAAAAUUCCUACGCACACCCUGAAGGAAAUAUGCCCUAGAGGCAAUAAUAAAGUUAUUAUUUAUUUCCUCAUAUCAUGAUAAAUUUUUAUUAUUCAUGCUAGAAUUGUAUUAACCGGAAACAUAAUACAUGUGUGAAUACAUAGACAAACAUAGUGUCACUAGUAUGCCUCUACUUGACUAGCUCGUUGAUCAAAGAUGGUUGAGUUUCCUAGCCAUAGACAUGAGUUGUCAUUUGAUUAACAGGAUCACAUCAUUAGGAGAAUGAUGUGAUUGACUUGACCCAUUCUGUUAGCUUAGCACUUGAUCGUUUAGUUUACUGCUAUUGCUUUCUUCAUGACUUAUACAUGUUCCUAUGACUAUGAGAUUAUGCAACUCCCGAUUACCAGAGGAAUACUUUGUGUGCUACCAAACAUCACAACGUAACUAGGUGAUUAUAAAGGUGCUCUACAGGUGUCUCCGAUGGUACUUGUUGAGUUGGCAUAAAUCGAGAUUAGAAUUUGUCACUCCGAUUGUCGGAGAGGUAUGUCUGGGCCCUCUCGGUAAUGCACAUCACUAUAAGCCUUGCAAGCAAUGUGACUCAUGAGUUAGUUGUGGGAUGAUGUAUUACAGAAUGAGUAAAGAGACCUGCCGGUAACGAGAUUGAGCUAGGUAUUGAGAUACCGACGAUUGAAUCUCGGGCAAGUAACAUACCGAUAACAAAGGGAACAACGUAUGUUGUUAUGCGGUUUGACCGAUAAAGAUGUUCGUAGAAUAUGUAGGAACCAAUAUGAGCAUCCAGGUUCCGCUAUUGGUUAUUGACCGGAGACGUGCCUCGGUCAUGUCUACAUAGUUCUCGAACCCGUAGGGUCCGCACGCUUAAAGUUCUGUGACGAUCGGUAUUAUGAGUUUAUAUGUUUUGAUGUACCGAAGGUAGUGCGGAGUCCCGGAUAUGAUCACGACCAUGACGAGGAGUCUCGAAAUGGUCGAGACAUAAAUAUUGAUAUAUUGGAAGCCUAUAUUUGGACGUGGGAAGAGUUCCGGGUGAAAUCGGGAUUUUACCGGAGUGCCGGAGGGGUUACCGGAACCCCCCGGGGGUUAAUGGGCCUAGUUGGGCCCUAGUGGAGAAAGAGAGGGGCCGGCCAGGGCAGGCCGCGCGCCCCUCCCCCUCUGGUCCGAAUUGGACUAGGAAGGGGGGGGGCGCCCCCCCUUUCCUUCUCCUUCUCCCCCUUCCUUUCCCCCUCCUAGUAGGAGUAGGAAAGAGGGGAGUCCUACUCCUACUAGGAGGAGGACUCCUCCUCCUGGCGCACCCUACAGGGCCGGUCGGCCUCCCCCCUUGCUCCUUUAUAUACGGGGGCAGGGGGGCACCCUAGAACACACAAGUUGAUCAUUGCUCUCUCCCAGCCGUGUGCGGUGCCCCCUCCACCAUAAUCCACCUCGGUCAUAUUGUAGCGGUGCUUAGACGAAGCCCUGCGACGAUAGCUUCAUCAACAUCGUCAUCACGCCGUCGUGCUGACGAAACUCUCCCUCGAGCUCUACUGGAUCGUGAGUUCGCUGGACGUCAUCGAGCUGAACGUGUGCUGAACGCGGAGGUGCCAUACAUUCGGUACUGAGGAUCGGUCAAUCGUGAAGACGUACGACUACAUCAACUGCGUUGUCAUAACGCUUCCGCUUAACAGUCUACAAGGGUAUGUGGACGACACUCUCCCCUCUCGUUGCUAUGCAUCACCAUGAUCUUGCAUGUGCGUAGGAUUUUUUUUGAAAUUACUACGUUCCCCAACAGUGGCAUCCGAGCCAGGUUUAUGCGUAGAUGUUAUAUGCACGAGUAGACCACAAGUGAGUUGUGGGCGAUACAAGUCAUACUGCUUACCAGCAUGUCAUACUUUGGUUCGGCGGUAUUGUUGGAUGAAGCGGCCCGGACCGACAUUACGCGUACGCUUACGCGAGACUGGUUCUACCGACGUGCUUUGCACACCGGUGGCUGGCGGGUGUCAGUUUCUCCAACUUUAAUUGAACCGAGUGUGGCUACGCCCGGUCCUUGAGAAGGUUAAAACAGCACUAACUUGACGAACUAUCGUUGUGGUUUUGAUGCGUAGGUAAGAACGGUUCUUGCUCAGCCCGUAGCAGCCACGUAAAACUUGCAACAACAAAGUAGAGGACGUCUAACUUGUUUUUGCAGGGCAUGUUGUGAUGUGAUAUGGUCAAGACAUGAUGCUAUAUUUUAUUGUAUGAGAUGAUCAUGUUUUGUAACGGAGUUAUCGGCAACUGGCAGGAGCCAUAUGGUUGUCGCUUUAUUGUAUGCAAUGCAAUCGCCCUGUAAUUGCUUUACUUUAUCACUAAGCGGUAGUGAUAGUCAUAGAAGCAAUAGUUGGCGAGACGACAACGAUGCUACGAUGAAGAUCAAGGUGUCGCGCCGGUGACGAUGGUGAUCAUGACGGUGCUUUGGAGAUGGAGAUCAAAGGCACAAGAUGAUGAUGGCCAUAUCAUAUCACUUAUAUUGAUUGCAUGUGAUGUUUAUCCUUUAUGCAUCUUAUUCUGCUUUGAUUGAUGGUAGCAUUAUAAGGUGAUCUCUCACUAAAUUUCAAGGUAUAAGUGUUCUCCCUGAGUAUGCACCGUUGUGAAAGUUCGUCGUGUCGAGACACCACGUGAUGAUCGGGUGUGAUAACCUCUACGUUCAAAUACAACGGGUGUAAGCCAGUUUUGCACACGCAGAAUACUCGGGUUAAACUUGACGAGCCUAGCAUAUGCAGAUAUGGCCUCGGAACACUGAGACCGAAAAGGUCAGCCUGAAUCAUAUAAUAGAUAUGAUCAACAUAGUGAUGUUGAUCAUUGAAAACUACUCCAUCUCACGUGAUGAUCGGACAUGGUUUAGUUGAGAUGGAUCACGUGAUCACUUAGAUGAUUCGAGGGAUGUCUAUCUAAGUGGGAGUUCUUAAGUAAUAUGAUUAAUUGAACUUUAAUUUAUCAUGAACUUAGUACCUGAUAGUAUUUUGCUUGUCUAUGUUGUUGUAGAUAGAUGGCCCGUGCUGUUGUUCCGUUGAAUUUUAAUGCGUUCCUUGAGAAAGCAAAGUUGAAAGAUGAUGGUAGCAAUUACACAGACUGGGUCCGUAACUUGAGGAUUAUCCUCAUUGCUGCACAGAAGAAUUACGUCCUGGAAGCACCGCUGGGUGCCAGGCCUGCUGCAGAUGCAACUGACGACGUUAAGAACGUCUGGCAGAGCAAAGCUGAUGACUACUCGAUAGUUCAGUGUGCCAUGCUUUACGGCCUAGAACCGGGACUUCAACGACGUUUUGAACGUCAUGGAGCAUAUGAGAUGUUCCAGGAGUUGAAGUUAAUAUUUCAAGAAAAUGUCCGGAUUGAGAGAUAUGAAGUCUCCAAUAAGUUCUACAGCUGCAAGAUGGAGGAGAAUAGUUCUGUCAGUGAACAUAUACUCAAAAUGUCUGGGUAUAAUAAUCAGUUGAUUCAACUGGGAGUUAAUCUUCCGGAUGAUAGUGUCAUUGACAUAAUUCUUCAAUCACUGCCACCAAGCUACAAGAGCUUUGUGAUGAACUAUAAUAUGCAAGGGAUGAAUAAGACAAUUCCCGAUCUCUUCGCAAUGCUAAAGGCUGCGGAGGUAGAAAUCAAGAAGGAGCAUCAAGUGUUGAUGGUCAACAAGACCACCAGUUUUAAGAAAAAGGGUAAAGGGAAGAAGAAACCCAAGUCUGGACCUAAGCCUGAGACUGAGUGCUUCUACUGCAAACAGACUGGUCACUGGAAGCGGAACUGCCCCAAGUAUUUGGCGGAUAAGAAGGAUGGCAAGGUGAACAAAGGUAUAUGUGAUAUACAUGUUAUUGAUGUGUACCUUACUAAUGCUCGCAGCACCUGGGUAUUUGAUACUCGUUCUGUUGCUAAUAUUUGCAACUCGAAACAGGGACUACGGAUUAAGCGAAGAUUGGCUAAGGACGAGGUGACGACGCGCGUGGGAAAUGGUUCCAAAGUCGAUGUGAUCGCGGUCGGCACGCUACCUCUACAUCUACCUUCGGGAUUAGUUUUAGACCUGAAUAAUUGUUAUUUGGUGCCAGCGUUAAGCAUGAAUAUUAUAUCUGAAUCUUGUUUGAUGCGAGACGGUUAUUCAUUUAAAUCAGAGAAUAAUGGUUGCUCUAUUUAUAUGAGUAAUAUCUUUUAUGGUCAUGCACCCUUGAAGAGUGGUCUAUUUUUAUUAAAUCUCGAUAGUAGUGAUACACAUAUUCAUAAUAUUGAAGCCAAAAGAUGCAGAGUUGAUAAUGUAGUGCAACUUAUUUGUGGCACUGCCGUUUAGGUCAUAUUGGUGUAAAGCGCAUGAAGAAACUCCAUACUGAUGGACUUUUGGAAUCACUUGAUUAUGAAUCACUUGGUACUUGCGAACCAUGCCUCAUGGGAAAGAUGACUAAAACGCCGUUCUCCGGAACAAUGGAGCGAGCAACAGAUUUGUUGGAGAUCAUACAUACUGAUGUAUGUGGUCCGAUGAAUACUGAGGCUCGUGGCGGGUAUCGUUAUUUUCUCACCUUCACAGAUGAUUUGAGCAGAUAUGGGUAUAUCUACUUAAUGAAACAUAAGUCUGAGACAUUUGAAAAGUUCAAAGAAUUUUAGAGUGAAGUGGAAAAUCAUCGUAACAAGAAAAUAAAGUUUCUACGAUCUGAUCGUGGAGGAGAAUAUUUGAGUUACGAGUUUGGUCUACAUUUGAAACAAUGCGGAAUAGUUUCACAACUCACGCCACCCGGAACACCACAGCGAAAUGGUGUCGCCGAACGUCGUAAUCGUACUUUACAAGAUAUGGUGCGAUCUAUGAUGUCUCUUACUGAUUUACCGCUAUCGUUUUGGGGUUAUGCUUUAGAGGCGGUUGCAUUCACGUUAAAUAGGGCACCAUCGAAAUCCAUUGAGACGACGCUUUAUGAACUGUGGUUUGGCAAGAAACCAAAGUUGUCGUUUCUUAAAGUUUGGGGCUGCGAUGCUUAUGUGAAAAAGCUUUAACCUGAUAAGCUCGAACCCAAAUUGGAGAAAUGUAUCUUCAUAGGAUACCCAAAGGAAACUGUUGGGUACACCUUCUAUCACAUAUCCGAAGGCAAGGCAUUUGUUGCUAAGAAAGGAUCCUUUCUAGAGAAGGAGUUUCUCUCAAAAGAAGUGAGUGGGAGGAAAGUAGAACUUGAUGAGGUAAUUGUACCUGCUCCCUUAUUGGAAAGUAGUUCAUCAUAGAAACCGGUUCCUGUGACACAUACAUCAAUCGGUGAAGAAGCUAAUGAUAUUGAUCAUGAAACUUCAGAUCAAGUUACUACCAAACCUCAUAGGUCAACCAGAGUAAGAUUCGCACCAGAGUGGUACGGUAAUCCUAUUCUGGAGGUCAUGUUACUUGACCAAGGCGAACCUACGAACUAUGAAGAAGCGAUGGUGAGCCCAGAUUCCGCAAAAUGGCUUGAGGCCAUGAAAUCUGAGAUGGGAUCCAUGUAUGAGAACAAAGUGUGGACUUUGGUUGACUUGCCCGAUGAUCGGCAAGCCAUAGAGAAUAAAUGGAUCUUCAAGAAGAAGACUGACGCUGACGGUAAUGUUACUGUUUACAAAGCUCGACUUGUUGCGAAAGGUUUUCGACAAGUUCAAGGAGUUGACUACGAUGAGACUUUCUCACCCGUAGCGAUGCUUAAGUCUGUCCGAAUCAUGUUAGAAAUUGCCGCAUUUUAUGAUUAUGAAAUUGGCAAAUGGAUGUCAAAACUGCAUUCCUGAAUGGAUUUCUGGAAGAAGAGUUGUAUAUGAUGCAACCGGAAGGUUUUGUCGAUCCAAAGGGAGCUAACAAAGUGUGCAAGCUCUAGCGAUCCAUUUAUGGACUAGUGCAAGCUUCUCGGAGUUGGAAUAAACGUUUUGAUAGUGUAAUCAAAGCAUAUGGUUUUAUACAGACUUUUGGAGAAGCCUGUAUUUACAAGAAAGUGAGUGGGAGCUCUGUAGCAUUUCUAAUAUUAUAUGUGGAUGACAUAUUGCUAAUUGGAAAUGAUAUAUAAUUUCUGGAUAGCAUAAAAGGAUACUUGAAUAAGAAUUUUUCAAUGAAAGACCUCUGUGAAGCUGCUUAUAUAUUGGGCAUCAAGAUCUAUAGAGAUAGAUCAAGACGCUUAAUUGGACUUUCACAAAGCACAUACCUUGACAAAGUUUUGAAAAGGUUCAAAAUGGAUCAAGCAAAGAAAGGGUUCUUGCCUGUGUUACAAGGUGUGAAUUUGAGUCAGACUCAAAGCCCGACCACUGCAGAAGAUAGAGAGAAAAUGAAAAGUGUUCCCUAUGCUUCAGCCAUAGGCUGUAUCAUGUAUGCAAUGCUGUGUACUGAUACGUCUCCAACGUAUCUAUAAUUUUUGAUUGCUUCAUGCUAUAUUAUAUUCUGUUUUGGAUGAUUAAUGGGAUUUGUUAUACACUUUUAUAUUAUUUUUUGGGACUAACCUAUUAACCGGAGGCCCAGCCCAAAUUGCUGUUUUUGCCUAUUUCAGAGUUUUGCAGAAAAAGAAUACCAAACGGAGUCCAAACGGAAUGAAACCUCCGGGAACGUGAUUUUCGGAACAAACGUGAUCCAGAGGACUUGGACCCUAUGUCAAGAAAGCAACCAGGAGGGCACGAGGCAGGGGGCGCGCCUACCCCCUGGGCGCGCCCUCCACCCUCGUGGGGCCCACGUUGCUCCACCGACAUACUUCUUCCUCCUAUAUAUACCUACGUACCCCCAAACCAACAGAAGCAUCCACGAAAAUCUAAUUCCACCACUGCAACCUUCUGUACCUGUGAGAUCCCAUCUUGGGGCCUUUUCCGGCGUCCUGCCGAGGGGGCAUUGAUCACGGAGGGCUUCUACAUCAACACCAUAGCCUCUCCGAUGAUGUGUGAGUAGUUUACCUCAGACCUUCGGGUCCAUAGUUAUUAGCUAGAUGGCUUCUUCUCUCUUUUUGGAUCUCAAUACAAUGUUCUCCCCCUCUCUUAUGGAGAUCUAUUCGAUGUAAUCUUCUUUUGCGGUGUGUUUUUUGAGACCGAUGAAUUGUGGGUUUAUGAUCAAGUUUAUCUAUGAACAAUAUUUGAAUCUUCUCUGAAUUCUUUUAUGUAUGAUUGGUUAUCUUUGCAAGUCUCUUCGAAUUAUCAGUUUGGUUUGGCCUACUAGAUUGAUCUUUCUUGCAAUGGGAGAAGUGCUUAGCUUUGGGUUCAAUCUUGCGGUGUCCUUUCCCAGUGACAGCAAGGGCAGCAAGGCACGUAUUGUAUUGUUGCCAUCGAGGAUAACAAGAUGGGCUUUAUUUCAUAUUGCAUGAGUUUAUCCCUCUACAUCAUGUCAUCAUACUUAAAGCAUUACUCUGUUCUUUUGAACUUAAUACUCUAGAUGCAUGCUGGAUAGCGGUCGAUGUGUGGAGUAAUAGUAGUAGAUGCAGGCAGGAGUCGGUCUACUUGUCACGGACGUGAUGCCUAUAUACAUGAUCAUACCUAGAUAUUCUCAUAACUAUGCUCAAUUCUAUCAAUUGCUCAAUAGUAAUUUGUUCACCCACCGUAAUACUAAUGCUCUUGAGAGAAGCCACUAGUGAAACCUAUGGCCCCCGGGUCUAUUUUCCAUCAUAUUUUUCUCUAGUCAACAAGCUAUUUCUUGCGCCGUUUAUUUUGCUUUCUUUACUUUUAGUCUUUAUUAUAAAAAAUACCAAAAAAUAUUAUCUUAUCAUAUCUAUCAUAUCUCACUUUCGUAAGUGACCGUGAAGGGAUUGACAACCCCUUUAUUGCGUUGGUUGCGAGGUUUUUAUUUGUUUGUGUAGGUGCGAGUGAGUUGAGCGCGGCCUCCUACUGGAUUGAUACCUUGGUUCUCAAAAACUGAGGGAAAUACUUACGCUACUUUACUGCAUCACCCUUUCCUCUUCAAGGGAAAACCAACACAGUGCUCAAGAGGUAGCAAGAAGGAUUUCUGGCGCCGUUGCCGGGGAGGCUCACACCAAGUCAAGUCAAGAUUUGAUUUCCCGUCAACGAGCCAUUUCUGGCGCCGUUGCCGGGGAGUCUAUGCAAAAGUCAACAUACCAAGUACCCAUCACAAACUCUUAUCUCCCGCAUUACAUUAUUUGCCAUUUGCCUCUCGUUUUCCUCUCCCCCACUUCACCCUUGCCGUUUUAUUCGCCCUCUCUUUUUCCGUUCGCCUCUUUUUUGCUUGCUUCUUGUUUGCGCUUGUGUUGGAUUGCUUUCUUGUCACGAUGGCUCUACCUAGAUUUGGUGAUCUUUACCUUAAAAGGUUAGAAGAGAUUGAAAGCAAUGUUAGAAGUUUCAUGACUUUACAGUUUGAGCAUAAUUUUUUUUAGAAACGAGCUUAAAGAACAAAAAAGCUUUAUGGGUUACAUGAAUAAAGAGCUCGACGAUAUGUCUAAGGAAUUUUAUGGUUUGAAAUCUCAGAUUGCUCAUCUCGAAAAAUUAAUUGCUGAAAUUUAGGAUAAGCAGGCCACCUUAGUUAAUAAGAUGGCCGCUAAAUCGGAUAGUUUCUAUGAAAAUAAAGAUGAAGAUCUAAAAGUUAUUGAUGUGUCCCCUAUUAAAUCUUUUUUUUGCAAUAUGAAUCUUGAUAAUGAUGGGACUGACUAUGAUCCACCUUUACCUAGAAGACAUUCCAAAAAUUCGGAGUUUUUAGAUCUUGAUGCUAAAAUUGGUAAAAGUGGGAUUGAAGAGAUUAAAACUCUAGAUAUUAAUGAACCCACUAUUUUGGAUUCCAAGGACUUUAAUUAUGAUAAUUGCUCAUUGAUAGAUUGUAUUUCCUUGUUGCAAUCCGUGCUAAAUUCUCCUCAUGCUUAUAGCCAAAAUAAAGCUUUUACCAAACAUAUCGUUGAUGCUUUGAUGCAAUCUUAUGAAGAAAAACUUGAGCUGGAAGUUUCUAUCCCUAGAAAGCUCUAUGAUGAGUGGGAACCUACUAUUAAAAAUAAAAAUAAAAAUCAUGAAUGCUAUGCUUUGUGUGAUUUGGGUGCUAGUGUUUCCACGAUUCCAAAAACUUUGUGUGAUUUGCUAGGUUUCCGUGAAUUUGAUGAUUGUUCUUUGAACUUGCACCUUGCGGAUUCCACUAUUAAAAAACCUAUGGGAACAAUUAAUGAUGUUCUUAUUGUUGCAAAUAGGAAUUAUGUGCCCGUAGAUUUUAUUGUUCUUGACAUAGAUUGCAAUCCUUCAUGUCCUAUUAUUCUUGGUAGACCUUUCCUUAGAACGAUUGGUGCAAUUAUUGAUAUGAAGGAAGGAAAUAUUAGAUUCCAAUUUCCGUUAAAGAAAGGCAUGGAACACUUCCCUAGAAAGAAAAUGAAACUACCAUAUGAAUCUAUUAUGAGAGCCACUUAUGGAUUGCCUACCAAAGAUGGCAAUACCUAGAUCUAUCCUUGUUUUUAUGCCUAGCUAGGGGCGUUAAACGAUAGCACCUGUUGGGAGGCAACCCAAUUUUAUUUUUAGUUUUUUUUCUUUUUGCUUCUGUUUAGGAAUAAAUAUUUGAUCUAGCCUCUGGUUAGAUUUGUUUUUAUGUUUUAAUUGGGUACACCUUCUACCACAGAUCUGAAGGCAAGAUCUUUGUUGCCAAGAAUGGAACCUUUCUAGAGAAGGAGUUUCUGUCGAAAGAAGUGAGUGGGAGGAAAGUGGAACUUGAUGAGGUAAUUGUACCUUCUCUCAAUUUGGAAAGUAGCACAUCAGAGAAAUCCGUUCCCGUGAUGCCUACACCAACUUCAAAUCAAGUUACUACUGGACCUCGUAGGUCGAACAAAGCACGUUCUGCACUAGAGUGGUUCGGUAAUCCUGUCCUGGAAGUCAUGUUACUAGACCAUGGCGAACCUACGAACUAUGAAGAAGCUAUGAUGAGCCCAGAUUCUGAUAAAUGGCUUGAGGCCAUGAAAUCUGAGAUAGGAUCCAUGUAUGAGAACAAAGUGUGGAUUUUGGUGGACUUGCCCGAUGAUCGGCAAGCCAUAGAUAAUAGAUGGAUCUUCAAGAAGAAGACUGACGCUGAUAGUAAUGUCACUAUCUACAAAGCUCGACUUGUCGCAAAAGGUUUUCGACAAGUUCAAGGGGUUGACUACGAUAAGACUUUCUUACCCAUAGCAUGCUUAAGUUCGUCUGAAUCCUGUUAGCAAUUGCCGCAUUUUCUGAUUAUGAAAUCUGGAAAAUGGACGUCAAAGCUGCAUUCCUUAAUGGAUUUCUUAAAGAAGAGUUGUAUAUGAUACAACCAGAAGGUUUUGUCGAUCCUAAAGGUGCUAACAAACUGUGCAAACUCUAGCGAUCCAUCUAUGGACUGGUGCAAGCAUCUCGGAGUUGGAAUAUACACUUUGAUGAGGUGAUCAAAGCAUAUGGUUUUAUACAGACUUUCCAAGAAGCCUAUAUUUACAAGAAAGUGAGUGGGAGCUCUAUAGCAUUUCUGAUAUUAUAUGUAGAUGACAUAUUGUUGAUUGGAAAUGAUAUAGAAUUUCUGGAUAGCAUAAACGGAUACUUGAAUAAGAGUUUUUCAAUGAAAGACCUCGGUGAAGCUGCUUAUAUAUUGGGCAUCAAGAUCUAUAGAGAUAGAUCAAGACGCUUAAUAGGACUUUCACAAUGCACAUACCUUGACAAAGUUUUGAAGAAGUUCAAAAUGGAUCAGUCAAAGAAAGGGUUCUUGCUUAUAUUACAAGGUGUGAAGUUGAGUCAGACUCAAAGCCCGACCACUGCAGAAGAUAGAGAGAAAAUGAAAGUCAUUCUCUAUGCCUCAGCCAUAGGUUCUAUCAUGUAUGCUAUGCUGUGUACCAGACCUGAUGUGUGCCUUGCCAUAAGCCUGGCAGGGAGGUACCAAAGUAAUCCAGGAGUGGAUCACUGGACAGCGGUCAAGAACAUCCCGAAGUACCUGAAAAGGACCAAGGAUAUAUUUCUUGGUUAUGGAGGUAAUAAAGAGUUCACCGUAAAGGGUUACGUCGAUGAAAGCUUUGACACCGAUUCAAAUGACUCUGAGUCUCAAUCUGGAUACGUAUUGAAAGUGGGAGCAAUUAUCUAGAGUAGCUCUACGCAAAGCAUUGUAGAGAUACAAAUUUGCAAAAAUACAUACGGAUCUGAAUAUGGCAGACCCGUUGACUAUACCUCUCUCACAAGCAAAACAUGAUCACACCUUAGUACUCUUUGGGCGUUAAUCACAUGGCGAUGUGAACUAGAUUAUUGACUCUACUAAACCCUUUGGGUGUUGGUCACAUGACGACGUGAACUAUGGGUGUUACUCACAUGGCGAUGUGAACUAUUGGUGUUAAUCACAUAGUGAUGUGCACUAGGUUAUUGACUCUAGUGCCAGUGGGAGACUGAAGUAAAUAUGCCCAAGAGGCAAUAAUAAAGUUGCUAUUUUAUAUUUCCUUAUUCAUGAUAAAGGUUUAUUAUUCAUGCUAGAAUUGUAUUGACCGGAAACCUAAAUACAUGUGUGAAUACAUAAACAAACACCGUGUCCCUAGUGAGCCUCUACUUGACUAGCUCGUUGAUCAAAGAUGGUUAAGGUUUCCUAACCAUUGACAUGAGUUUUCAUUUGAUAACGGGAUCACAUCAUUAAGAGAAUGAUGUGAUGGACAAGACCCAUCCGCUAGCUUAGAAUAAUAACCAUUUAGUUUUAUUGCUAUUGCUUUCUUCAUGUCAAAUACAUAUUCCUUCGACUAUGAGAUUAUGCAACUCCCGGAUACCGGAGGAAUGCCUUGUGUGCUAUCAAAUGUCACAACAUAACUGGGUGAUUAUAGAGAUGCUCUACAUGUAUCUCCAAAGGUGUUUGUUGAGUUGGCAUAGAUCGAGAUUAGGAUUUGUCACUCCAAGUAUCGGAGAGGUAUCUCUGGGCCCUCUCGGUAAUACACAUCAUAAGCUUGCAAGCAAAUGACUAAGGAGUUAGUCACAGGGUGAUUUAUUAUGGAACGAGUAAAUAGACUUGCCGGUAACAAGAUUGAACUAGGUAUGAAGAUACCGAUGAUCGAAUCUCAGGCAAGUAACAUACCGAUGGACAAAGGGAAUUGCGUAUGUUGUCAUAAAGGUUUGACCAAUAAAGAUCUUUGUAGAAUAUGUAGGAAACAAUAUGGGCAUCCAGGUUCCGCUAUUGGUUAUUGACCGGAGAGGUGUCUCGGUCAUGUCUACAUAGUUCUCGAACCCGUAGGGUCCUCACGCUUAACGUUCAUUGACGAUAUAAUAUUAUAUGAGUUAUGUGAUUUGGUGACCGAAUGUUGUUCGGAGUCCCGGAUGAGAUCACGGAAAUGACGAGGAGUCUCGAAAUGGUCGAGGUAAAGAUUGAUAUAUAGAACGAUGGUAUUCGGACACUGGAAGUGUUUCGGAGGGUACCGGGUACUUAUCAGGUCACCGGAAAGGAGUUUCGGGCACCCCCGGCAAAGAUACCUUAUGGGCCAAGAGAGGGAACACACCAGCCCACAAGGGGCUGAUGCGCCCCUAUAGAGGCUGGCCCUAUGAGGAGGAAAAGGAAAGAGGGGAGGGAAAGGAAAGUAUGGAGUAGGACUCCCCCUUCCUUCCCUCUCCCCCUCUUUCCUUCCCCCUUCUUCAUACAAGGAAAGGGGGGCGCAGGAGGGCAGGAGCCCUAGGGCCGGCGGCCAGCCCCUUGGGGCGCGCCCUGGCUGCCCUAGGCUGCUUCCUCCCCCCUCCCACCUAUAUAUAUAUGUGGGUAGGGGGUGCCACACAAGGACACAACAUGGUCUCAGCCGUGUGCGGCGCCCCCGUCCACCGUUUACUCCCUCGGUCAUAUUUUCAUAGUGCUUAGGAGAAGCCCUGCGGAUAUCACAUCACCAUCACCGUCACCACAAUGUCGUGCUGUCGGAACUCAUCUACUACCUCGCCGUCUUGCUGGAUCAAGAAGGCAUAGGACGUCCCCGAGCUGAACAUGUGCAGAACGUGGAGGUGCCGUGUGUUCGGUACUAGAUCGGUUGGAGCGCGAAGAAAGUUCGACUACAUCAACCGCGUUGUGAAACGCUUUCGCUUACAGUCUACGAGGGUAUGUAGAAAAACUCUUUCCCUCGUUACUAUGCAUCUCCAUGGAUGUAUCAUUGCGUGUGCGUAGAUUUUUUUUGUUUUCCAUGCAACGAUUCCCAACAGUAACUUAGCAAAGUCAAUAUGCGAAAAGCAUAGGCAUUGGAUCAGUGAUGGAUAAUGUUGGAUGACAUUCAUCAUGUAACAGUCACAACCUAGAGCGACACAGAACUAGCUCCAAUUCAUCAAUGCAGUGUAGGUAUGUAUUCCGCAUAUAGUCAUACGUGUGAUAAGAACUUGCAUGACAUCUUUUGUCCUACCCUCCCGUGGCAGCAGGGUCCUUAAGGAAACUAAGGAAUAUUAAAGCCUCAUUUUAAUAGAGAACCGGAACAAAGCAUUAACACAUAGUGAAUACAUGAACUCCUCAAAUUACGGUAAUCACCGGAAAUAAUCCCAAUUAUUGUCACCUUGGGGUAUGCAGAUCAUAACAUGUAAUAGGUGCGUAUAACUUGCAAGAUAGGAUGAAGAACUCAAAUAUAUUCAUGAAAACAUAAAGGAUUCAGGUCUAAAAUCAUGGCACUCGGGCCCUACUGACAAGCAAUAAGCAUAGCAAAGUCAUAACAACAUCAAUCUCUGAACAUACUGGAUACUAGGGAUCAAGCCCUAACAAAUUGACUCGAUUACAUGUUAAAUCUCAUCCAACCCCAUCACCAUCCAGCAAGCCUACGGAGGAAUUACUCACUACCGGUGGCGAGCAUCAUGAAAUUGGUGAUGAAGAAGGGUUGGUGAUGAUGAUGGUGACGAAUCCCCCUCUCUGGAGCCCCAAACAGACUCUAGAUCUGGCCUCCUGAUGAAGACCAGGAGGUGGUGGCGGCUCCGUAUCAUAAAAUGCGAUGAAACUUCUUCUCCUAUUUUUUUCUUGGGAAAUAGGAAUUUAUAGGCUUGAGAUUAGGGUCAGCGGAGCCACGUGGUUCGCACAAGGUACUUGGGCGCGCCCAGGGGGUGGCCGCGCCCAAGUGCCUUGUGGGCCACUGGCGUGUACCCUCUUGUGGAUCUUCGCUCCAAUAUUUUUUAUAUAUUACAUAAAAAAUCUCCAAAAAAGUUUUUUCCAAUUCCAAGAGCUAUUAUUUCUGCACAAAAACAACACCAUGGUAGUUUUGCUGAAAACAACUUCAGUCCGGGUUAGUUUCAUUCAAAUCAUGCAAAUUAGAGUCCAAAACAAGAGCAAAGGUGUUUGAAAAACUAGAUACGACGGAGACAUAUCAACUCCCGCAAACUUAACUCAUUGCUAUUCCUCAAGCAAUUCAGUUGACAAACUGAAAGUGAUAAAGAAAAACUUCUACGAACUCUUUUGUUCUUGUAUCCGUAUAUAAGCUUAAAUAGUACCCAAGUUUUCAGCAAAGAUCAUAACUAACCAUGCAAAUGAUAAGUCUUAGAAAUUAUAUUCACUCAUAUCAAUGGCAGAAUCCACUAGUGAGCAAUAAUAACAUAUCUCAAAUGCCAACACUUUGUUAAACCAAUCAUGAUAUAAUAUGAUAGCAUGGUAUCUCGCUAGCCCUAUCUAAGACCGCAAUACAUAAAUGCAGAGCACCUCCAAAGUUCAAGUAGCGAUUAAACAUCGUAAUUCAUGGUAGAAGAGAUCCAGUCAUGAUGGACACAAUAUUAACUAUACACAAUGCAUACGAAUGACAAUAGUGCUCUCAUGACUGGUGCUUUAAUUGAGAAGGUGAUGACUCAACAAUAAAAGUAAAAUAAUAUAAAAGUAAAUGGAUAGGCCCUUCGCAGAGGGAAGCAGGGAUUUGCAAAGGUGCUGGAGCUCGAAGCUUAAAUCAUAGAUAAAUGCAAUUUUGAGAGGCAUGCCUUUCUUGUCAACGCCACGAUAGAGAAUUUUCAAUAUCUUCCAUGCUAAACACAUUAUCAGCGGUUCCCAAGCAGAAGGGUAAAGUUUACUUCCCCUUGACCAACAAACACAAGCCAUGGCUAGCCAAAUCCACGGGUGCCCUCCAUGCCAACAACUUUCUUGGGGAGUUUGUUUCAUUUUUUUUCAUUUUGAUUAUAGGACUGGGCAUCCCAAUUACCAGCCUCUCUCGUGCAAUGACAGGUGAAUAAACCCCCAUCGUGAGAAUAACCCGCUUAGCAUGGAAGAUACUAACCACCCCCUGUCGCUUGAUAUGUCCAUUUUGCAUCAUGUUUUCCUACUAUUAUUUAUAGUGUUUGAUACGUCUCCAACGUAUCUAUAAUUUUUGAUUGUUCCAUGUUGUUUUAUUAUCAAUCUUGGAUGUUUCAUAAUCAUUUUAUAGUCAUUUUUUGGUACUAACCUAUUGACAUAGUGCCAAGUGCCAGUUGCUGUUUUUUCAUGUUUUUUACAUCGCAGGAAAUCAAUAUCAAACGGAGUCCAAAUGCCACGAAACUCCAUGAUGAUUUUUUAUGGGCCAGAAGGAAGGCAAUGGGCCCUGGUUGCACCUGGGGGGUGCCCCGAGGGGGGCACAACCCACCAGGGCGCGCCAGGAGGCCCAGGCGCGCCCUGGUGGGUUGUGCCCACCUCGGGUGCCCCCGGACCGCCUCUUUGCUCUAUAAAAACCCCAAAAAUACCACAACCCUAAAAGCAUCGACGAAAUAUUCAUCCAGCCGCUGCAGAGUCCAGAACCACCAGAUCCAAUCUAGACACCAUCACGGAGGGGUUCACCACUUCCAUUGGUGCCUCUCCGAUGAUGCGUGAGUAGUUCUUUGUAGACCUUCGGGUCUGUAGUUAGUAGCUAGAUGGCUUUCUCUCUCUCUCACUGAAUUCUCAAUACAAUGGUCUCUUGGAGAUCCAUAUGAUGUAACUCUUUUGCCGUGUGUUUGCUGGGAUCUGAUGAACUUCGAGUUUAUGAUCAGUUAUAUCUUUUUAUAUCCAUGAAAGUUAUUUGAGUUUCUUUGAUCUCUUAUAUGCAUGAUCUCUUAUAGCCUCGUAUGUCUUCUCCGAUGUUUUGGUUUUGUUGGCCAACUUGAUCUAUUUAUCUUGCAAUGGGAAGAGGUGCCCGGUAGUGGGUUCGAUCUUACGGUGCUUGAUCCCACUGACAGAAGGGGACCCGACACGUAUGUAUCGUUGCUACUAAGGAUAAAAAGACGAGAUCUAUAUCUACCGCCAUAUAGAUAAAUGGAUCUUGUCUACAUCACUUCAUCGUUCUUAUUGCAUGACUCCGUUUUUCAUGAACUUAAUACACUAGAUGCAUGCUGGAUAGCGGUCGAUGUGUGGAGUAAUAGUAGUAGAUGCAGGCAGGAGUCGGUCUACUAAUCUUGGACGUGAUGCCUAUGUAAUGAUCAUUGCCUAGAUAUCUUCAUGAUUAUUUGAAGUUCUAUCAAUUGCCAAACAGUAAUUUGUUUACCCACCGUUUGCUAUCUUUUUCGAGAGAAGCCACUAGUGAAACCUACGGCCCCCGGGUCUUCUUUCUCAUAUAUUUGCCUUGCGAUCUACUUUUCCUUUGCAUUUUUAUUCAGAUCUAUUAAACCAAAAAUACAAAAAUAUUUUGCUGCACUUUAUUUUAUUUGCGAUCUAUUAUUUCAAUCUAUCACAAUCUCUCGUCUCCUUGCCAAUUUCUGGCGCCGUACCCCGGAAGGGAUUGAUAACCCCUUUAACACGUCGGGUUGCGAGGUGUUGUUGUUUGUGUGCAUGUGAUUUUUACAUUGUGUUGCUUGGUCCUCCUACUGGUUUGAUACCUUGGUUUCAUAACUGAGGGAAAUACCUACCAUCGCUGUGCUACAUCAUCCCUCCCUCUCCAGGGAAAUACCGACGUAGUUCCAGCUACCAUCGAGGAGAAUUUCUGGCGCUGUUGCCGGGGAGGAUCUUCAACAUAACCAGGUUCCUAAUCACAACUCUCAUCUCCUCACAAUUUACAUUAUUUGCCUUUUGCCUCUGGUUUUCCUCUCCCCCAAUUCACAAAAAUUUGCCGUUUUAUUUGCCUCUCUUUUUUCGUUCGCGGUUUUCUUGUCGGAUCUGUUUUUGAGUGCAAUCUUGUUGUAUGUUCAUCAUGACUCAAGAGAACACCAAGUUAUGUGAUUUCUCAAAUACCAACAACAAUGAUUUUAUUGCCACUCCGCUUGCUCCUCCCGCCACUAGUGCGGAGACUUGUGAUAUUAAUACUGCUUUGCUGAAUCUUGUUAUGAAAGACCAAUUUUCCGGUACUCCUAAUGAGGAUGCCGCGUCCCAUCUUAAUACCUUCAUGGAAUUAUGCGAUAUGCAAAAGAAAAAAGACGUGGACAAUGAUGUGGUCAAGAUGAAAUUAUUCCCGUUUUCUUUGCGUGAUUCUGUAAAAAUUUGGUUCUCUUCUUUGCCUCGCAAUAGUAUUGAUUCUUGGAAUAAGUGCAAAGAUGCUUUUAUCACUAAGUAUUUUCCUCCCGCAAAAAUUAUUUGACUUAGAACCCAGAUCAUGAAUUUCAAGCAACUUGAGCAUGAGCAUGUUGCACAAUCUUGGGAAAGGAUGAAAAUGAUGCUAAGGAACUGCCCAACUCAUGGGUUGAAUCUUUGGAUGAUCAUACAAAAUUUUUAUGCGGGAUUGAAUUUUGUUUCUCGUAAUCUUUUAGAUUCCACCGCGGGUGGUACUUUUAUGGAAAUUACUUUGUGUGAAGCCACCAAAUUGCUUGAUAAUAUCAUGGCAAAUUAUUCACAAUGGCAUACCGAAAGAGCUCCUACUAGCAAAAAAGUUAAUUCGGUUGAAGAAAUUUCUUCUUUGAGUGAUAAAGUUGAUGCUCUUAUGAAAUUGGUUGCUAGUAAAAGUGCUCCUAUUGAUUUUAAUGAUAUGCCUUUGUCUUCUUUGAUUGAGCAAAAUAGUGAUGCCAUUGAUGUGAAUUUUAUCUCUCGCAAUAAUUUCAACAACAAUGCUUAUAGAGGUAAUUUUAAUCCUAGGACUUUCCCUAGUAAUUGCUCUAAUAAUUAUGGCAAUUCCUAUGGAAAUCAACCUUACAAUGAUAAUAGGAACACCUCUGAUCUUGAGAAUAAUAUUAAAGAAUUUAUCAACACGCAAAAAGUUUUCAACACUUCCGUAGAGGAAAAGUUGAAUAAGAUUGAUGAUCUGUCUUGAAGUAUUGAUAGAAUUGUUUAGUAAAGUUAAGAAUGAUGAAAAAGGGACUGGAGAAGAGUCAACUUUAGGUAGAAGGCGUCCCAAUAUUUCGGAGGGUGAAAAUCUUGUUGAGAAAAUUGAUGAAAGUGGGUUUGGAGAGGUCAAAACUUUAGCUAGUGAUGCACCCACUAUUUUGGAUUACAAAGACUUUAAUUAUGAUAGUUGCUCUUUGAUUGAUUGUAUUUCUUUAUUGCAAUCCAUGCUAAAUUCACCCCAUGCUUAUGAACAAAACAAAGCUUUUACUAGACAUAUUGUUGAUGCUAUGAUGAAAGCUUUGGAAGAAAUAUUGGAAUUAGAAGUUUCAAUUCCUAGAAAAUUGCAUGAUGAAUGGGAACCUACUAUCAAAGUCAAGAUUAAAAAUUAUGAAUGUUUUGCUUUGUGUGAAUUGGGUGUUAGUGUUUCUACAAUUCCGAAAUCUUUAUGUGAUGUGCUUGGUCUUACCAAUCUUGAAGAAUGUUCUUUGAAUUUGCACUUGGCGGAUUCUACUAUUAAAAAGCCUAUGGGAAGAAUUAAUGAUGUUCUUAUUCUUGCAAAUAGGAAUUAUGUGCCUAUAGAUUUUAUUGUUCUUGAUAUUGAUUGCAAUCCGUCUUGUCCAAUUAUUCUUGGCAGACCGUUUUUACGCACUAUCGGUGCCGUGACUGAUAUGAAAGAAGGCAAUAUCAAGUUCCAAUUUCCUUUGAUAAAGGGUAUGGAACACUUACCUAGAACAAAAUUCAGUCCACCUUAUGAAUCAAUCAUGAGGGCAUCUUAUGGAUCUCAAACCAAAGAUGACAAAACUUAGAUCCUUGCCUUACGCCUAGCUAAGGGCGUAAAACUAUAGCGCUUGUUGGGAGGCAACCCAAUGAAUACAACUUAUUUUUGCUUUUUGCUUUCUGUUCUUGUGUGUUUACACAAUUAUGCUACUGGUAUGAUUGUGAUUUUUAUGUUUUAAUUAGUGUUUGUGCCAAGUAAAGCCUAUAGGAUCUUCUUGGGUGAUAGUUGUUUGAUCUUGCUGAAAAAGACAGAAACUUUGUGCUCACGAAAACAAUUGUUAAAAAUCACCAGAAUGUGAUAAAAUGCCAAUUCUUUUUGAAGAAUAUUAAUAUACAAAUUACCCAGGUCUUUCUAUUAUGGUAGAAGUUUUGGAGUUACAUAAGUAUUCUCCAAAGUCAGAUUACUACAGACUGUUCUGUUUUGACAGAUUCUGUUUUCUUUGUGUUGUGUGCAUAUUUUGAUGGCUCUAUGGUUUUGUAUGAUGAGUUUUUGCCAUAGAAAAGUUGGAAUACAGUAGACAUAAUACAAAAACAAACUAUGAAUUGUUUUGAUACAACACUUAUAGUAGUGGUUUGCUUUCUUAUACUAACGGAUCUCACGAAAGUUUUGUUGAGUUUUGUGUGAUUGAAGUUUUCAAGUUUUGGGUUAUCUUACAAUGGAUGAAGGAAGGAUGUAAGAUCCUAAGCUUGGGGAUGCCCCGGCAUCCCAAGAUAUUAUCCAAGAAUGAGAAACCAACUAAUCUUGGGGAUGCCCCCGAGUGGCAUCCCCGCUUUCUUCCAACAACUAUCAGUAUUUUACUCGAGGCUAUAUUUUUAUUCGUCACAUGAUAUGUGCUUUGCUUGGAGCGUCUUGUAUGAUAUGUGUCUUUGCUUGUUUUAUUUUGUGUUUUAAGUCAUCAAUCCUUGCUGGACACACCUAUUUGAGAGAGCCAAAAUUAUAUCAUGACUUGUUAGAAUUGCUCUCUAUGCUUCACUUAAAUCUUUUAUGAGCUAGGACUUGCUCUAGUGCUUCACUUAUAUCUUUUUAAGCACGGUGUGCUUAAUACUUUUGAAGAAAUGCUCUCUUGCUUCACUUAGAUUUAUUUAAGAGUUAGUAAAAUUUUGAAGAAAUUCUCUCUUGCUUCACUUAAAUUAUUUUGAGAGAAAGAAAAUUUGUUAUGCUCAUGAUCUUCACUUAUAUUUGUUUGAGCUUAUGAAAAGCAACACAUGAAAAUUAGUCCCAAAGUGAUAGAUAUCCAAGAAGGAUAAAGAAAGUAAAAAAAUGUCAUGAAGAUCAUUGGACAAAAUAAACUUGAUUCUUAGUAAUAGUUUUGAGAUAUGAUGAUGUGAUAUGUGAGUUAUGUUGAUGAGUAAUUGUGCUCUAGUAAGAAUUUUGGUGUUAAGGUUUGUGAUUCCCUAUGCAUGCACGGAAGUCAAUAAUCAUGCAAUGAAAAUUAUAUCCUACUUGUGGUGCAUUAUUCGGUGUUAAUUAUGCUUAAUGCUUGCUUAUGAGAUUAUUCGUUUCUUGGUUGGUCGCUUCCCAAUCUUUUUGCUAGCCUUCAUUUUGCACCAAGUAUGACCUCUACUUGUGCUUCCAAAAUCCUUUAAACCAGUUUUGCCA
rnacentral:lncRNA from 1 species